UUUUUUUUUGUAAUGUUUUUUAUGUUUCGUACUGUGUUUCCCUUGACGUUUUUGAAUAUUAUCAUUAAUGAAUUUUGGUUGAUAUGAAUUGACAUCAUUUGAUAUUAUUUUUCUGCUAAUAUUAGUUGGUGAUGGUUGUCAUUGAUUGAUUUUGAUGUUAGCUGAUGAUGUUACUUUUGAUGGCAAUUACUUUCUGAUUUUAUAAUGAUAAAAAGGUGGAGAAAUUACUGAAUGAUUUUGAAUUGGUGAUUUUGAAUUGAUUAUGGUUGCUAUGUAGAAGAAGGAUUUUUUGAUAAUAUUAUGUUGACUAUGAUGAAAAUUACUUUGCUCAUGAUUUUUCUCAUGUUGGUAUUGAAUGAUUUUGAAUUGGUUAUGGAUGCUAUGUGUAAGGGGGAGUUUUUGCUCUUUUUUUUAAAUAUCAUCCAUUGUUUUGUCAUCAUCAAAAAGGGGGAGAAUGAUGAUCUUAAUCCCGAUUUUUUGAUAUUUACAAAAUAAUUGGAUAAUUCAAACUAAUAUUUUUUCAAUGCGAAAGAUUUUCAACUCUGAAGAAAUUUGAUUUAAAAAGUAAUUGAAAGAAGAAAAAAGAAAGUCGAAAACUGUCGGACGCUCACAAUGACAAUACCGGAUAUCCGAUAGAAAGGGCAAGUACCGAACGAUCAUAUCGGACGAAAAACAUCAUCACCAGACGUCCGAAAGAAAUGAAAUGAUUUUUCAAAUUUCCUUUCCGCUUUCGGACGCAAGCAUCGGAUUCCGAUACUCCCAAUGGCUAGUUGACUCUUCAUCUACUUUCUAUCCGUUGGAAGCUUUAAUGAAGUACUUUUUUGGUCUCCCAUAAAUAGUGCAUGGUCAGAAAUUUUAAAAAAAUACUUUUUGUACACUGAGAAUACAAAAAGAUCAAGAGUAGUUUUAGUGAGAAAAUACUCUCCAAGUAACGUUUGUACUCUUUGUAAUGUAAGAUUUUUUGUAAACUUUUCAUUUGUGAAAGAAUAUUUCAAUAGUGUUGUGACGAACCCACCUUCUCCUAGGGCCUACCCUAGAAGUUAGCGAAUCGCUUGCAUGACUCUCGCCAGGACUCAAUCACUUACAUGAACUUCAGAGAUAACAUUAUCAUUGAACAACUGAACAUUCACUCUUAAGUACCACUCCAAUCAGCUUGAAACAUAGAUUUGUCCACUAAAAGAAACAAAAUACUCGUUCUAAACAUCCAUUAUUAAUAUUACAUCAACUCAAAACAGAAGAUUCAACCAUCUUAAAAUACAAAAGAAAACGUGACUCCAAUAUAUACACAUAGUGAUGGAAUUUCCCAAAACAACUUUCCAAUUCCAUCUAUUCACUUUUCAAUCUCCAACUCCUGUAAGGAAAACAAAGUUAAAAGGGUGAGCUUACGCCCGUGAGGUUUCCAUGCAAGUAACAAUCAAUAAGCACUUAAAUCAGUACAAUUAAGCGAGUAGUAUACAUUUCACUGUACAAUCACUUUCAUUAAGCAAUUGAGGAAGCACAUCACCAAACAAUCACUUUUAAAAGGAUACGGUGCUCGCAUUAGAGCCACUUCAAUGCACUACACACUCCACCGAACUCCUCCUUAUAACCUCCAAAAUAAUAAACACUUCCCUCACUUGGAUGGCCAUAUCAAUAUCAGUAAUCUACUACUCCGUGGUAAUACUCGAGUAUACCGAAACAGUUACCCAAAGCUACCGUCCUACCCGACCAAGCCCUUUGCUGGCUCGAAUAGUCCGUUGAACAGAGGGUUUUGGGGCCCAGUUCAGCUAGUGUGAUAAGGUACACACAUGGCUUACAGUCAUGCACACUUACAAUAUCACUUGAUCAAAUAUCAACCUUUAACCUCAACUAUGUCGAGUGCGAUAAAGUACACCCUCGACUUAGAAGGCGAGGGACAAUUGAAAACACUUCACAAUGAAUCACUUAGCAAUAUUUCAUAAUAAGCACAUUUGCCAUAUAAUUGCAUUUAUGUACACAUAAGCAGUUUAACACAUAAAUUCGGAAAACACUCACCAAAGAUUCAAAUGACUACUCUCGAGUCUCGAAUUGGUUUCCUGGUUCACGGCUACUUCCUGGUACAAGUUAAUAAUUCUAAAGUGAAUAUUCAUUUUAUAUACAACCAUUUAAGGUUUAAGUAACUAAAACCCAAGUUCCUAAGCUUAUAAAACGAAUCACCAAAAUCUAGCAACCUUCCUUACGUUUGUCUUCAAGAUUAUUAAGUUUGGUAGCUUUAAAACAAGGUUAAUGUACAUAUACACCAAAUUUUAAUAUCAUAUAAACACUUGAGCUAAGAUUAACUCAUUUCCAAUCUAAUGUGCAAGGACUAAGACAAGCAAACGUUUCAUUUCUUCCGUCUAGGCUAAAACAGAUUCUAGUUUGACCUUAAAGUACAAAUAUAAUAUUUUCAAUAUUCAUUUAUCAUUUUAUUUUGAAACUCAUUGACUUUAUUGUUUUAAUCAAGAAUUAUACCUGUUUUUGCAAGUUAAUAAUUUAUAAGAUAUUUAUUUUAGGAGUAAAUCAUUUUCCACUCAAGAUUAUAAGCGGUUUAGGAGUACUUCAUUGGUCCCCUUUUUAAUUAAUUAAACUCUAGGUUAUUUGUAAGUUAAAUUUUAUUCCACUACACCAGCCCCUCAAAUUUUAUAGUCUUUAAAAUAUUUGUGAAGACAAUAUUAACUAAUUAGAAGCCAAUUUAGGUACAUAAUUAUCAUGAGUUUUCCCCUCAUUUGCUUUAGUUUAACUCUACUUGUGGAGCUGUAUAUAGCCAUUAAAUCUCAGGGUAACCGUAGCUAUCAUUUAUGAAAGCUUACAAAGUUGGAAAUUAGAGGAAAUGCUGGUUCAAAUUUGGUUCCUCAUGGCCAUUAUCAAAGCAAAGUGCAUCCGGGAAGAAAAGGAAAGCAAUAAGAAAGGCAGCUUUGCCACCCUCUGAUAUUUUGAUCACAACUGGAGCUACGCUUAUCGGAUUGAGGCGAAUUUUAUAGCGUUUCGAAGCUAAGACAUAGACCUACAUUUAUUCUGAAGAUAUCGACAUCCAGUUAUCGCAUUUUCAAGGCCAAAAAGGGACGGUCAGAAGCACAAUCUGUUUCAUUUUCUCGGUCAGCAACCAAAACUAGUAACGUUACUUCAAGUUUUCGACGAAAACUCUAUUCUUUCACUUGCUUAAAGCUCUAAAUAUUUAAAAUACAUUCACUCCAGCAUAUACCAAGGCAAAUAGCAUCUAGUUUCAACAAAUUAUUCAACCCAAAAGCUACGCACAACAAUCUGUCUUCAACUAAUUACAAUUUACAGCAGUAUAGCAGUUUAACAUGUGGUGUUUUCUCAUAAUUUUCUUUUCAAUUUCAUGCUCCAACUAGACAUGCAGGGGAUGAUCAUUCAACUACAGACCAUCUUAAGCAAAACAUAGAAAUUUAUAGCCAAAAAUCCAAGAGAAAAGCUGAACCAAGAUUUAUAUCCUCUCUCGACUAUAAAGCUGGUUCGUAGCAGCAAGUAAUGCCUAAAGACGAGUUUCUUCUACUAGAUCCCUCCAUUUUAUGCUCAAACCUCUCAUGCAUGAAGAAAUCAAGAUGUUAUACAACAUAUUACAGAUUAACACAGAAUUUUAGAGUCAUUAUUCACCAAAGACAGCUUAAACUUUUCCAUCCCCCCCUCACUCGGAUGAAGCUGGAAAAAAUCCAGCAAGGAUCUUCCAUCGGUCCUCUCAAUUUCCAACUUUUCCCAAAUUUCUUCAACUAAACUUCUAAUAAUACCUGAGAUAACCAUAUUACAUGCUUUUCUUAUAUUAUAUUUUCCAUUUUUACACUGCUAAUGAGCUGAAAUUCAUGUAAUUAACUCCCGGUUGCUACAACUUCAGUCAAAUAAUCAUUUUAACCUCAAACCAGAAUUUUUCUUCAAUCGAAGCUCAUUUCCUCUGCUAAAACUUAUCUUGCAGCUUGUUUAUAUAUAUAUAUAUAUUAUAUAAUAUAUAUAUAUAUAUAUAUUCAUUUAUACUCAAUAAAUGAGUAUUGAUCACAGAGAAUUUACCUCUUUCCUUUAAGAGUUAAACUGACCAGAUUUUCCCAGCUUUGUUUCCUCAAGGUCUGCACCAGCUAUCCCUCCUAUUUUCCUUGCCUUUCUCUUCUUGAUUAUGAUCAGUAGAUGAUAAAGCUAACCAAAUUUUCUCUCCCUCACUCUUAGUUCCACCCCCUCGAUUCCAUUUUUGGAAAGAAAGAAAGCAAGCUGCCUUGUGUUUCUUUCCUCUCAGUCACCGCCCAACUAGAAAUUUCUUUCUCUUUGUUUCCUCUCGGUUGUCUUCCAGAAGAUGGCUUCCUUAGGUUGCAUAGUAGUUUAACCAAGAUUCAGGGUUAGUUAGGUCAUUGGUAUUAACUUAUUUGCUCACUAAGGGGCUGCGGUUUUAUUAUUUCAUGCAUUGACUUCAAACUUCAUUUGUUAUAAUUUAUAUACCCUUACAAAAUUCUCGUACAUUAAUCUAGGAGAUUUUCAUACAUUCGGUUUUAAAGGAAAAUCAACUAGACAUAUAAUUUAUUCAACUGUAUAAUAUAUGCUACGUGUCUAGUAAUAUAUGCAAAUGACACAAUUUACAAUAUACAUACCAUGUGUUUAUUUGAUUCAUAAAAAUUUUUCUACACCAAUCUAGGAUAUUUCUAAUUCUCGAUUUCAUAGAAAUUCAAUUGGACAUUUAAUUUAACCACUUAUUCGUUAUUUCUAAUAAAAUAAAUGCAAAGCACACACCUGAUUUUCUCGAGUUCUCACAAGUGUAACUUUGUGAGGAUUAUCCUGAGGGAUUAUAAAACUUCUUAACUUGACCGAGUGAAACUUGGGACAAGGAGGAAGUGAGCCUUCCUUUAUACACAAGAUUGGUUGUAUUACAUCAAUUUGAAGAAACAUGUUUUGUGAAUUGAUCUUCGAGGUAAGAGGAGGUUGGUAGUCAAUUAGUUUGCAAUUCUUCUCUUUUUAUUUAUUUAUCAUCUUGUGAUCCUUAAAUUGCAUAUCUCUUCUACUUCUCUCAAGUGAUAUUCCACCUUUAUUGAUUAAUUCAUUGUGUGAUCUCUUAGAAAAGAGGGUAAAUUUCGUAUUGAGCCAAAAGUGUCCAUAACCUGAUUAGUUAUUUUUAAUCAACCUAAUUUACCCUUCUCUUAGGUUGUCUUGGGGCCUAACAAAGGCGCAUAAUUAGACAUGUACUAAAAACAGAGUUUAAAUUAAUAAAGUAGAUGGAUGUAAUAGAAGUUAGACAUGGAGUCCAUCUUCGUUGAAGCUCAUACAUUAAUAAUAAUUCACGAGUAUGCAGCAAAGCUACUCAGCAUUCGUCUGUUAACUAAAAUCAGGAUACUAAAUCCAACAAUAGCUCAUGUUUAUAUAGAAAGAAAAGCCUGAAAUAUUGCUCUGGACAUUAUUACGUGGCACAAUCAAACUAACAUGAGAGUAUAAGUCAACUUAUCUGGAAAACUGAAUUCCAAUUUAGCAAAUUACAAUUGGAACAGAUUUGGACUUUUUACCAACCACAACUAGCAUCUAGGACUCUGAAAAAGUAUGAAUGAAUAGCCAAGAACCAUUAGACUUAAAAAAGAACUAUGACAUGGAAACAGACAUAUAGCAAUCGAAAAAGACAUGAUGCAAGAGAUAUGUUGAUGCAAAACAGAGGCACUUCAAAUCUAUGACCAUAACAAGCGAGCAAUCUAAAACAUUCUUGACAGUCAUUGAUCAAUAAUCAAUCAACAUGGUUAAUAGAUGACAAUCGAGUAAAAAGACAAUACCCCUGCAAAGUUAUAAGUCUUCCCAGAUGAUUAAAUAAAAAAAAUUUAAAAGAUAGAGUCACUCUCCAACGAUGACCACAAAAGAAAAGCAACCUGAAAUUCUUUACUUGGUCUAUUGCACCAAUGUAAAAGGCACAAGCAUCACAAAUUCAAAAUCUACUAAAGUUUUUAAAUAGCAUAGCUUCAUAUCUAGUCACUCUCAAAGUAUGACCACCAACAGCAAGCAACUUAAAGUAUUCAUUUUAUUAAUAAAUCAUGCAAAAGUGUCAGAAUCUAAAAGUAGCUACUGCUGCAACAGUGACUACUAAAAGUGUUAGAAUCUAAAACUAACUCCUCCAAUGUAAUAGUACGUGACCAAAAUUGACAAACCACAGAAAAGAAAAAAAAUAAAAAUAAAACAAAAUAUUUUGCACAUAACUUCCCCUUCUAUAUGAUCUGGUUUCGAAAUUUAUCAAACAAAUCAAGUGAUCAAAGGCACAUUAAAAAUCUCAGAUUUGAAGCUAUUGAAAACCAUACAAACUCUAAAACCCUAAUCUACCAAGUAAAGUUACAUAUCCUAGAAAACCUAACCAAGCUUUAACCCUAAAAACCUAAUCCUCCAAGUAAAGUUACAGAUCCUGGAAAAUCCUAAUCAAGAUUUAACCCUGAAAGACUUUCUGUGCUAUAGCAGUUUUAAAUCCAGAUUUUUAUAAAUUCAAAUUUACUCUAAAAAAUGUUCUAUGUCAAUAAACUAAAUUCCUAUCUCCCAAAAUUCUGAAGUCCAUAAAUCUGUCACAAAACAAAUAAAAAAAAGUUACUCGUACAUAAAAAAAAGCAAAAAAGAUCAUUUAGUCAUAAAAGAUUAGCAAUAUCGAGAAAAUAAAUUGAUAAAAUUCAAACACCAUUUAGAAAAGAAAAAUAAAAAAAUUAAAGGUAUUAGUAGACAUUAUUCACCUGAAUGUUCCACUAACAUUUUAACUAGUCAAAGUCCAUGAAUUUGCUGCACUUUUCAGAGGCUGAACCACUAUCUGAAUAAAGUAAAAACCCCAAAAAUCUAUAUCACACAUUCUGGAUGGAAUUUUUAUUUAAGUGAAAAAAGGAAAGUUCAAGAACCGACCUUGUAUCAAACAUUUCCGAUGAAAUAUUUAUUACAAAAAAUAAAUUGAAUUUCAAAAAGAAAAACAAAAAAUUAGUGAAAUGAAUAGCUUUAGUUUGCCAGAAUCUUCAAUUGGCGUAUGAACAAAUAAAAAAGCCCUGAAUUUGCAUCUUUCUUUCUCCGCCAUUUUCACACAUAGAAACACACAUCCAAUCCCGAUCUCUUCUGGAAAACAAGAAUUUGUUCAAAGAAAACUCUGAAAAUUUUAGGAAAAAAAUAUAAAAUUAGGACCAAUUUGAACGUUAUAAUUUGGGAAAAAAUAUAAAAAAAAGUACAAAAAUUUUGAAAUGACACAGAGAUAGUGAAUAUCAGCUUUGAUAAGAGAAGUGAAGGAGGAAAGGCAAGGGAAGAGUAGGAGGGUUUAUAUAAGGAGAUGGUAUUUUGAGAAUGGGAAAUCGCCAAUUUGGUUUCUAAACUUUUUCACUUAAACCAAUUUCAUUCUUUACGAUUUUGUUUCACCAAUUUAGUUCUCAAACAAUUUUAUCGGGUUCAAUGUAAGACUUAUUGGGAGGCGCCAACACAUUUUAUGUAUUUUCCACGGCGGAUCAAGGGUAUAAUUGGAAUGACAGGUUUAAUUGUCUAAUUAUAGGGAUUAUAAUAGCAACUUUGACAUCAUGAAGGAAAAGAAACCUCUGAAAAUUGGGAGAGAAGAGCUCAUAGGAAUUAGGGCAAGUCACUGAACUUGGAUAUUUGCAAGUGAAAUGCAAUCAACCAGAAACUUGGACAACUCCGCCUCAAGUUUAUAUAGCAGCCAACACUCAAAUCUAGGUAGCCGAGCAAGUGGGCAAUUGACAGGGGUGAAGGGAGAAAGGGUAGAAUUCUACAAUGGGGAUGAGGCAGUAAUUUGUCAUUGCCGUGAAGAAUGUAGAAUUGUUACUUCGUGGACAUUGGCGAACCCAGGCAAAAGAUUUCAUGGAUGCAUAAAUUACGGGGUAAUUUUUACAAUUAAUCACAACAUAUUGCUUGUAUAUUUGAUGUAUUAUAUAAUUUACUACAACUAAUGGCUGGAAUUAAUGGUCAUUGUAGACACCAAAAGCCUGCAAUUAUUUUCUGUGGUAUGAUCCACCUAUGCAACUGAUAACAAAAAAUAUGAUGGCGAGAAAUUUGAAGAAUUUGAGGAAAGCUAAGGAAGAAAAUAAUUUCAUGAAAAUUGAAAUGUGUAAGCUUGAAGAAGAGAACAAGGUGCUCAAAAGUGAAAUUAGGAAGUUGAAAGCAGCAAGGAAGUGGCUAAUGCUGGUCGUGGGUUGCAUAUGUAUUAUGGUUAUUGCUGUACUAUUACCCAGUGGCAAUGAAAGGAAUGUCAACUUAAAAAUGCUACAUUAGAUCCUAUUGUAUGAAGUUAAAAGUUGAGUAAUUGCUUCAUGUAAUUUGAAUGCUGUAAUGUUGGAAUGUAGACAUUGGUGUAUGGAACAUGUUUAUGUACUAAAAUGGAACAUUGUCUCGAUUGGUGUUUUUGUAAAAUGAUUGAGAGAUUUUGUCAAAGUUGUUGGGCACAUUAUCUCCAACAAUAUCUUUAUAAAAUGAUUGAGAGAUUUUGUCAGUUGUUGGGGACAUUACCUUGAAAGACGUCUUUGUUAAAAUUUUACCAGAGAUUCACCUCAAGUUGUAUAACAAAGUUGAUAGAGUUUCGUCUUAAAUUUUGACAAUCCCUACUGGCACAAUUACCAAAUGUAUCAUAUAAAAUGCUAAACAACAAGAAGAAAGUCAAAGUAAAUGGUACAAGAAGAGUGCCAAUAGAAGUUCAUAGUCAUCAACAUAGGUGCGACAUUGCCAAUAUAGCAGGCUGAAUUUUACAAAAGCAUUAAUUCUCUUUAGACAAAAUGCAGCCACAUCAGAUCAUUAGAAGUUGACACAUGUAUAUUAACCAAAAUACAUCAAAUUCCUAUCGUUAAUCCAAUUAGUACUUUAUGACAAAACAAAAGCUCUUAAUGUACAAAACAGAGCAUGUCCCGCAAAAUAGAAGCUUUUUAUUCCCAAGCUGCAUUAAGUUGACCGGCAACAAUAUCAUCUUCUUCAUCCAACAGCCUAUGUGCCUGCACAAAAAAAUCACAUGUCAAAAGCCAUAAACAGUCUCCUUUUAAGUCAUGUCAAAAUCAUUGUCCAGCAAAUGUGCAAGACAUGCUGUUAACUUUAUAAAUUACUUCAACUUACUGUCUCCUUUUUCCUAGUCAUUUUUCCAUUUGAUAGAGGGAAUGGAUCAAAAACAGUCAUAGCAGCCUUCCUUUUUCUCCAUGCUCGAGCUUGCCAGGUUCCACAUGUUUGCCGAUUAUGUCCUAAGCCAUGACAGAAGGAACACUUGGUGAAUUUCUUUCGCACUUCAGGUAGUUCUUCUUGAGCUUAUGGCUGUAAAUCAAUAACCUAUACAUCAUCAAUAGCAGCCUGUGCUUUAUCACCUGACCAUGAAAUAAAGUUAAACAGUUAACAAGUACAAGAAUAAAAUUAUUAUGAACUACAAAUACAUGGAAAAAUCCUAUUGCUGACCAGUUGGAACAUCUGGCAUUGAGCUAGAUUCUGGAGGUACUUCAGUCGGCUCCUUGUCAAACACUUGAUCUAUACUCAUCAAAGCACCAUUAGUUAAGUAUUACACCAUAAAACCAGUGGAGGGAUAGGUCAAUUUACCAGGUUUUGGGGGUAAUUCACAUGUAGCAUUCUCCCUUGUCUCAAGAUUUUGUGGACAAGUUCUCUUGUUAUGGCCAAGUGUCGUGCAUUUGCACCAAGCUCAUUAGAAGGUACCAGCAGUGGACACUUUCUCACUGUAUGCCCCUUUUGAUUGUAAUUUUUACAUGCCAUUCUAACAAGGCCAGAUUUGGAAAGUUUGGUAAACCCCUUUGAAUUAGGCCUAGGCUCUUCUAGUUCCCUUCUUCUUACUUUCUUUGGCCGACCAGGUAACUUCAACCUCAAGGGUGAUAAGACAGGAUCCUUAUCCGAUUGCACCCAAACAUUUGGCCCACUCAAAGGAGCAAUUGCUGGCCCAUAAGCCUUCAAGUAACUGUCUCGUGAGUAGUAAUGAUGAACAAGACUUUCUGGCUCUUGACCUAUUAAAGAAAUACAACAAAUCACAUGGCAGCAUGGCAAUCCAGUCAACUCCCAUCUCCUGCAGCUACAGGUCUGCUGCUUUAAGUCCACCACAUGUUUGCCUCCAUACAUGUGUGUAACCUCAAAUUUAUCUUGAUCAGACCAUCUCGCAAUGUUUGCAGCUGCUUCUAUUUUUUUCCUUCUCCAGUUUCUUUUGAAAUUUUGGGCAAAUCUUAUCACUCAUCUUUUUCAUCCACUCCCUUUUCGUACGAAGCCUUUCUAUUAGAUAGAUUCUGAUAGUCUCAAGCAUUCCAAGGGUUGGCUUUUCCCUUGCAUCCAUUAUGACCGAAUUAAAACUUUCACAUAAAUUAUUAAGGAGAAUAUCACACUUGGCAGUCACUCGAAAGUGUGAUCUUGACCAGUAAUAGGGAGAGGUGUUGUCAUUUAACCACUUCCAAGCAGCUACAUCAUAAUCCCUUAAACACUCUAUCUAAUUUUCGAACAUCCUCAUGUACGAUGACCUUGCACAUGUCCAAAAUCUUUCCUUCAAUGCUUCACCCAGAUGAUAUUUUUUGAAGUUGUUGUGCAAGUGCCUUACACAAUGUCUGUGCUCAACAUCAGGAAUGACUUCUUGAAUUGCAGAUCCUAAACCCUGCAAAAAAGACAAAUGCAGGUUUGAAACAAUCAGUAAGAAUUCAUAUAUCUGCAAUAAACAUAUACAAACAAUGUAAUCUGAUUUUAUUCACCUUCUAUCUAUAACUUAUGAAGCUCCAAUUUCUUUGAUCGUUGAUGGAUAGGUCAUAUUUCAAGAAUUCAAUAAACCACUUCUAUGACCUCUUAUUUUCUGCUUCAACUACUGCGUAUGCAACUGGAUAAACACAGUCAUUUGGAUCUAUUCCAACUGCAGUUAAUAACGCACCCGGAUGUGGACCUCUCAAGUGGCAACCAUCAACUCCAAUUAUCUUCCUAAAACCAGAUUUAAAUCCCCUCUUCAGUGCCUCGAAGCAAAUGUAAAGUCUCUGAAAUCUUUGUUUUCCGGAAUCUUUAUCUAAUGUAGUCUUCAUGUACACUGUAGAACCAGGAUUUGCCUUCAUUAGUUCAUCACAAUAAUCCCACAAUCUGUUGUACUGAUCUUUGAAGGUCCCAUGGAUCAAAAUUUUUGCUGUCAUGAAUGUCUUAUAAACUUGAGGUUUAGUAAUGUUUACAUUCAGCUUUGCAUGUACCAUAUCCUUGAACUCUGCAACUAUUAUUCUCUUGUUCAUCCUUAGAAAGAACCAACCUUGUAUCAAAUAUUUCCGAUGAAAUAUUUAUUACAAAAAAUAAAUUGAAUUUCAAAAAGAAAAACAAAAAAUUAGUGAAAUGAAUAGCUUUAGUUUACCUGAAUCUUCAAUUGGCGUAUGAACAAAUAAAAAAGCCUGAAUUUGCGUAUUACUUUCUCCGCCAUUUUCACACACAGAAACACACACCCAAUACCAAUCUCUUCUGGAAAACAAAUAAUUUGUCGAAAACAAGAAUUUCUUCAAAGAAAACUCUGAAAAUCUUAGGAAAAAAAUAUAAAAUUGGGCGCAAUUUGAAUGUUAUAAUUUGGGAAAAAAUAUCAAAUAAAGUAGAAAAAUUUUGAAAUGAUAGAGAGAUAGGGAGAGAGAUGGUGAAUAUCAGCUUUGAUAAGAGAAGUGAAGGGAGGAAAGGCAAGGGGAGAAUAUGAGGGUUUAUAUAAGGAGAUGGUAUUUUGAGAAUUAACGGUCGGGCAUUUCAAAAUAAGCAGAGGAAUCUCAUAGUCGGUGACUGAGUGUUGUUUUCUUCGUAAUUCAAAGUGCCCCCCUCAUAAAAUAUUUGUUUCUCGUUUUCUCCCCAUGAUUGUUUUACAAUUGGAUCCAUUUGUAGCCUAAGUUUUUCAGUUUUUUUCUAAUUUCACCCAAUUAACUUGACAACCCCAAAACUGAAUCUGAUUUUGUCACUAAGAUGCACAGAUUGCAAGAAAAGGAGAAAAAGGUACAGCCUUGAGGGAAAAAAGGUACACGUAAGGGCUUAUUUAUUCAUAAAUUGUAUUUUCUAUCUAUUCUCAUCUAGGAUAAUUUGUACAUUUUGUAAUUAAUCAAAAAUCUGGUCCACAUUGAAUAAACCAAGACAAGAUUAUGGAAUUUUUAAACUUCCAUUUUCUAUAAAUUAGAGAAUGUUAACUAUUACAUGGUCUAUAGUUAAUUCUUUGAAACUAGUUUAGCAUUGUGACAAAUCCAUGUUCAACAUUUCUUUCUUAAUCAGACAAUAUAGAAAGAACUAAAUUAUUUCUUAAUUAGAUAAACAUGAAAACUAAGUUAUAAUAAGUUAUUAUUCACCAACACAUUCACAGAUGAAAGCAGAAAUAAAUGUAAUAAAUAAAGCUAAUUUUCAAAUAAAUUAUAAAUAUAUAUAGGAAGAUUUUAAUGAUGAAGAAAAUACAAAAAAAAAGAAUUUGAUUUUUUCAAUUAUUACCCGAUUGUAAAGAAAAAUUAAUAAUAGAAUGAUAAAAUGGAAUUAGAAAUAAGAAAAUUUGAUUUUCCCUUCUUUACUUGGCUAUCACUCUAUAUUUCAAAAAUAGGAAUAAAUGAUGUAUAUAAUACACCUUAUAUAAAAAUCUCUUUGGUGUGUAUAUAGUUGGUCUAUCUGCUUCUACUUGCAAUAUAGUGGUUUCAUCUUUUGAAGUUGGAGUCACUAUAAAUUUUGGAUUUAAUUGUGAAGACAAUGGUCUAUAAUACAUUCAAUAAAUUACAGCAAAAUUUUUUGUAUAUCUUUCAAAUUCGUCUCCUUGUAAAUGAAUAACUAAAACUAUAGAAUUCAAAACAUGUGGAUCAGUUAUAUCUACUGAGAAAUCAGGGGCGCAAUUGAAAUAAAUUGGUCCAUUACAUAUAUUUGUUUGAAUCAUAGCUAGUAAUGAAGUCUUAUAUCUUUUUUAACCUCUUAUCUCUUAAUGCUAGAUAAAUUGGAGCAUCUACCCCUACAUGAACUAAUGGUUUGACUGCUACUUGAAUUAAUUCAAAGUGAAUAUAUCUAUAACCUUUACUGAAAUCUUUUUGAAUAGUAAUAUGAUUCAACAAUGGAAUUGUUUGAAAUUCUUCUUGUUAGAUAUGGUUUCUUCAUGUGUUUUAACAGAUAAAGCCCAGGGUAUGUUAAAACUUUAAAUAAGUAAAACGAACAAUAAUCAGAGUAGUAUAAAGUAAUAAAACUUACAGUAAUCAGAGUAGUCUUUGAAAAUCAGAAGCUUUAAUGAAUUCGAACUUGUUGAAUCAUUGAUGUACAAGGAUUGAAAUUGGGAGUAUAGGGAAGGAAGAAAUAAGAAAGAGCACUCGAAGUUUUUUCUAGGCUGAAAUCUACUUUCUAAAAAACCCGAUGCCUUCUUCGUGAUUUGCAAUCUAUUUAUAGAUGUUACAAAGUUGAAUUUCAUUUGCAUUUGAUUGCCGACACCUUAUCUCUUUGAAAUGUGGCCGACAUCUUUAUUUGAAAUGUGGCCGACAUCUUUAAAAGAUAUUUGGGUCUUGAACACAUGGCCCUCCAAAAGGAUCAAAAGUUGAAUCUGAUGUUGAAUCUGACAUGGAGCUUGAUGCCUCUUUUGUCUUUUGUUCUAGUCCUUUUGCUUGAUUUUGAAGAUAACUCAUGAAUUCUUUGAGCAUCUCUAGAUUCUGCAUCAUCUUUUUGAGUAGAAAUUCAUUAGCUGUUGCUUCUAUUGUUGAAGUUGAUGAUGAUUCCUUCUUUUGGGGAGUAGUUGGAGUACUGACUUUUGAGGCUUCAUGAACUAACCAUUUGAGUUUUUCUCCUGUCUCGAGAAAUUUUAGAAUAUUUUCUUGAUCACAUAGAUCUAGAUUGAAUCCUGCCCACCAUUUAAUCUUGAAUUCUCGAACUAGUGACAUUGGAAGUGGUUUUUCUAAUUCUUGUUGAAUCUUGAAACUCCAGCAAAAUAUCCAUGGAACUUUAAAUUCUAUAUGAAAUAGGAUUGGUCUUGAGUAUUCUUCUCCUUUGGCCUUUUUGAGAUAUGUUUGAAAUCCUAUUAAUGCUCUAGGAGGUAGAAUUUCUUUUUGAGGACCGAACCAAUUCCACCAAUGAUGAAACCAAAUUGGAAAUUCUCUGUUGCAACUUUCUUUGAAUGUAAAGAACCAUGCGUGAUUGAAUGGCCUAAAUAGAAAGGCACGAUACCAAGCCAUUUUGUAAUCUUGAUAUGUAAAUCCAUCUGGAAUGAAUCUUACUGAGAAAGACUUUUUUGAAUAUAAAGAAGUCCAUUCAUUUGGUGAACAAACCUUUCUAAUGAUACGGUUUGAAUGACUGAUUACUUCUGGUUUUUCUUUAUCUGGAAUGGGGUAAAUUUCAAUGGAUUGAGUAUCCGUAAGGAUCAAUUCAUAAUAAUCUAAUUUUUUUGCAGAAUCAUCUAGUUGCCAAAAGCAUUUUGAGGGAAACAAUCUUUGAGUGAGAUUUAUGAGUGCAUUAUAGGGAGGUAUUUCUUGGAAUCUGGUCAAAGUAAUAUGUUGAGUGAACGGUUUAGUGAAGUAGGUGUUUUCAUUAGGUUUAUAUUGGUUUAGAGGUUUUGAAGGGUUUUGAUUGGGUUUAGUGUUGGCAGGGUUUCUGGCUGCCUGAAUAUAACUUAAUGCUGGGAAAUCUUGAAGAGUUUGGAAUCUAUUUGGGGUUACAGGAAUUUGAGUAAGACUUAUCUCAUAAUCUUUUGGAGUCUUUGGUUUUGAGCCUGAACCUUCUGCUUUUGAAUUCAUUUUCCUGCACAAUUCAACAAAUAAUAGACCUUAAUUCUUUUUUCUUCUUUUGAAUCAGAACUUGAUAUUCUCCAGAAUCUCUUCUAUUUUGUUCUUCCCAAUUCUUUGCUAGAAUGAUUUGAUCAAUCAUUCUCUUCUUGAUGUAGCAUUGUUCAUUAAGAUUAAGAAUUGCCUUUGAUCUUCUGAUUUUGACUUCAUCAUAUCUAUGGAUAUGAUAUGGCUGGAUUCUCCCUUGAGGGGUAUAGUAAAUGAGAUUUCGAGAGGAUAAACGAGCAUAUUUUUGAAGUUGAUUUUCCUCAUAAAGUCUUUUCCUAAUGGUUUUUAUCAUUUCUUGCUUCAUUUCCCUGUAAAAAUUCUCUUGUUAAAAAAUCAGGAAGAGAAUUAUUUUCUCCUUUUAUAAAUUCUAUUUCAAAAUCGAAGACUGAUAAAAUAGCUUGCCAUCUAGCAAAAAUUUGUUUUGAAACUAUAUUUUGAACAUUCUUUUGUAAAACUUCUUUUACUGAUUCACAAUCUAUUCUUAAUAAAAACUUUUUGUUAUACAAAUCAUCUUGGAAUUUUGAUAUGCAUAAUACUAUGGACAAAAUUUCCUUUUUAAUAGUAGAAUAAUUUUUUUGAGGUCCUAACCAUGUUCAAAUCUAACUAAUUCUUCUUUCAAGUUUUCUAAUUUUUGAUUUAAUAUUCCUCCAUAUCCUAAUUUUGAUGCAUCUGUUUCGACUAUCAUAAAAGCUUUAGGAUGAGGAAGACUUAGGCAUGGUAAGGUUUGAAUUCUUUCUUUAAGAUAUCUAAUUUUUUGGGUAUGAUCUUCUUUCCAUGGUUUAGGAUUCUUUUUUAACCUAUUAAACAAUAUCGAACAUUCUUGUCUUAGUUCGGGGAAAAAAUCAACACUAUAAUUUAAACAUCCUAAAAAUCUUUGUAAUUGAUUUUUAUCUUUAAUUUCAUUGGAAACUUAUCUGCAAAUUCUAAUGCCCUAUUUAUAGGUUUUAUGGUUCUUUAUUAAUGUCAUGUCCUAGAAAUCUUAUUUGAGUUUGAAAUAAUUUUAAUUUUGAUGCUAAAACUACUAAUCCAUUUUUCUUAACUACCUUUAAAAAUAUAUUUAAAUGUUUAAAAUGUUGUUCUAAUGAUUCAGAAAAUAUUAAUACGCCAUCUAUAUAUACUAUGCUAAAUGAACUAUAUGAAUUAAAUAUAUCAUUCAUUAUGUUCUGGAAUUCUGAGGGGGCAUUUUUUAGUCCAAAAGGCAUAACUUUCCAUUCAUAAUGUCCAAAAGGUGUUGUAAAUGCUGUUUUAUACCUGUCUUCUGGUGCUAUUAUUAUUUGCCAAUAUCUUGAUUUUAGAUCAAUUUUGAGAAUAUCUUAGCAUUAAAUAAUCUACUUAAUAAAUCUUUUUUAUUGGGAAUUGGAUAUCUUAUCCAUUGUAAAACUUUAUUUAAUGGUUUAUAAUUAAUUACUAAUCUUGGAACUCCUCUUUCUUUUUUAACUUGAUUCAUCACAUAAAAAGCUGCACAACUCCAGGGUGAUUUUGAUGGUGUUAUUAAUUCUUUAUCCAUUAGAGCUUGUAUUUCCUUUUUGCAAAAUUCUAAUAAUUCAGAACUCAUUUGUAUUGGUCUAGCCUUAGUUGGAAUAUCCUUUUCAUUAAAAUCUUUUUCAUAAGUUAGAUUAAUCAUAUGUUGUUUUCUAUUCCAGAAUGCAUUGGAUAUAUCAGCGCAUACUUCCUUUUUUAUUAAUUCUUCUAAUUUUGUAAUUCUAGUUUUCAUGUUUACUUCUUUUAAUUGUUCUUCUAUUCUUAAAUAAGAUUUUUCUUCUUUAAUAAAAUUUAUGCUUUGCUUAACAUGUUGAAUAGUAUUUAUUGUUUUAUACAUAAAGGAUGAUGGCAAUAUUUGUAAUUCUUUUUGUUUGAUUGGUGUUAAAAAUUUAAAUGUAAUGGUCUUACCCAUAAUAUUUGUAGAAACUCCAUCAUAAUUUACAGUGAAGGGAUAUAUUUGAAUUAAAAAGGGUGUUCCUAAUAUCAUGCCAUUAUUUAUGUUUUUAACUAUUAAAAAAUUAUGUUUUAAACAAUAAUUAUAAUUGCAUAUUGAUCCUUUAGUAAAUUUGUAUUUUACUUGCAAUUUUUCUCCAUUUGCUGCCAAUAAUUCUUCCUUAGUUCUUUCACAAUAUUUAGUUGGAAUUAGUCCUUCUUUUAUACAGCUUGAAUCUGCUCCACUAUCGAAUAGGGCUACAUAUGUUUCUUUGAAUUCUUCUACCAUUACUUUUACUAAAGCAUACCAUUUUUGAAAUGUCAUUUUUUCUAUUAUGUUUAAAUAUUGUUUUUCGUCUAUUGGCUUUUCAGAAAUUAUUAUUUCAUUUGUUUUUGAGGUAGACGGUUCAUCUAUAUUUUGUUUAUUAUUUAUUAGUGACAUUUUUGCUUCUAUUUCUAAAUCUUUGGUCUUUAAACUAAUUAUUUCUUGCUGUAAUUGUUUUACUUGUACCUUUAGACUAUUAAUUUCUGUUUGAAGGUCUUUAGUAGUUUCCUUUCUUAUAUUAUUUAUAUUAGAAUAUUUAUCUAUUAAUUUUGAAAUACUAAAUGAUUCGAUGAUUUUUGGCAUUUUAUCUUCUUGUAUUAUUAAACUUUUUAGUCUUUCUAAAUAUUCUUUCUUAGCUAUAGGAUCAUCUAUUUUAUCAAUUAUAUCUAAUAAAAAUUCUUUAUCUUCUUUUUUGGUAAUAAUAUUUAGGUAUUUUGGAUUAUUUAAACAAUUAUAUUCUUCUUGAUCUUCUGAACUACUUAUAUCAUUAUAAUAAUCAUCUUCUGUUUCUUGAUCUUUUUCAUUUAUUAAUAAACUAAUUAAUUUAUUUUUUAUAUCUUUUUCCUCUGGACAUAUUUCAUUUAGUUUCGCUUUUAGUCUACAUUUAUCUGCUUUAUGUCCUAUUUUCCCACAUUUCCAGCAAAUAAUUUUCUUUUUAUUAUAUUUUUUACUUUUCUUUUUCUCAUAAUAAGAUUCUUUAUUAGAUUUUUUAUAUUUUCUCCUUUUUAUUUUUCUUUCUAUAUGCUGAGGGGGAUUCUAUUUUCUUAAUUUCAAAAGCUUCGCAAAUUGAUCCUUCUUCUUUUAUUUUUGAACCAUACUUAAUUUGGAGUUUUAAUUCUGAACAUAAAAUUAGACCUUCUUUUUUAACAAAAGCAAAUAAUUGCCCAAAAGUAAUAUUUUCAAAUGAAAUAACUUCAGUUCCCAUUUCUUUUUGUAAAUUAUCCAUUAUUUUUUAUGAAAAUAAACUUGGUAAUGCUGUUAUAAAUUUUUCUUUCCAAAAUGAAGCAUUGCAGUCUGGUCUUCUUAAUACAUUAGUCAAAAAUAUAUCUUUAUACCAUCUAAAAUCUGACAACGUUGGACAUCUUAAAUUUGUUAAAAAGGUUUUGUUUGCAUUUAAUUCUUCCUUUGGAUUUCCUACAAAAUACAUUACUAUUGUUACAAUUAAAAAUUUUGCAGCAUCUGACUGUACUUGAAUAUUUCCUUGGUCAUCUUCUAUUUCUAUUGUAUGACCUAAUAUUGAUAAUUAUCGUGAAGAGUUAAGGCAUUAUCCCACCAAUUUUUUAAUUGUCCUGUAAAACCAGAAACUAAUAAGGUUGCAAUGUUUCUUUCUUAAAUACUUUUUAGCUUAUAUGCUAAUCUAGUCAUUCCCAUUUCUUGCAAAGUAUUUAAUACUUCGUAUUCUGCUCUUCCAUCUAUAUUCCAUUUGUAUAUUGAAUCUCCAUCAUAUUUUGUAGUAUGAAAUUUCGAUCUUUCUUCAUAUUGUAUAUCAGGGGGGUUGGGUCUAGGAUAAUAAUUUCUUGUGCUUACUAGUUGCCAAUCUUUUCUGUUUUUAAAAUUUUUUCUUCGUUUUAUUCUAUUUAUUUGAUUACCUUCUUUUUCAUUAAUUGUUUUUCUAUAGAAGUAACUAUAUCUGUUUCUUCUUCUGAAUAACUUGAUUCUUCUUAUGUAUUUUUUUUAAUCAAAACUAAGAUUUUAUUGGCAAAACAACAACGUACAUAAAGCAUCAGACAUCAUCUAGGUCCAGAACUAGCCAAAGGAGAGCUACUACCCUAUAGACUGCCACCGCAGGGAAGUGAAUUCCCGAUUGUCUAAGACUACUGAUGCUCGCACUAGAUUCGGGAGUUGUUGAAACGAAGUGCAGAAUAACUCUGAUGAUAAUCGCAAUCCCGCGAGUUCAUCUGCUGAAGAGUUCGCCUCCCUGAAAACGUGUGUUACAGAAGCCGAAAAUGAGAAAAGCAGCGCUCUUAUGUGUCGCAACGUAUUGCAAAGGGACCACCGAGAUGUCGCUCCCGCAUUAAUUAGACUGACCAGGCUUUUAGAGUCUACCUCCACCAGCAGGGGUCCCCUAACUAGAUCCUUACACAGGUGAAAACCAUGUAGCAAAGAUGAACUCUCUACCCUCAAGACAUCUGUGAGAACCCGACAUUUUCUAAUUUUCUAGGCUUUAUUUUAUUUAAUUGCAUGCCUUUUCUACAUUUUUGUUAUUAGGAAAUUUUCUAGAUAAAUUUUAUGAGUAAAUAUAGUUUUUAAAUUAUUUUUCUAGUAUCCGUUAGUUUUUGAGAAAUUAAGAGUGAAUACCGAAUGUGAGACCCGCUAGUGCAGUAAGUGCGGUAAAAUUCGGUCAAUUAGGUUAAGUUUUGUAUAUCGGGAGUAAUUUACUAGGUGCUAAGAGAUAAUUAGAGGUUUCCUAGAUGGAUUAGUAUAGGAGAGACAAAAAGAUAAUUAUCAACCAAAAAGGUGAUAAGUGUCACCUUGUGAUUUAAUCUUGCACUUUGACCACUAUUCAUGCACUUUACUAAUAUCCCAAAAUUGAUAAAAAAUCUUCAUUUUCUUCACUCUUGUGGCCGACUCUCUCAAGAAGGAAAAGAAAGGAAACCUUCAACUCUCUUGCUCUCAAUCUUGCUCAAUAUUCCAAUUCAACCGAUCAAACUUGAAAUUACUCCAUAAAACCCCCUUAACUAAGUAGUAUUGAGGUAGUUAGUGGAUUGGAAAGGAGAAGUGCUAAGUUGUCUCUUUCCUUGAGUUGGUAAGGUGAGUAGCUAAGGAAUGCUUUCUUUGGUCUUGUUAAUGUUGAAUUAGUGAUUUGUGUUAGUUAAAGAGGUGAUUUUGUGGGUUAUUUCAUGACUUUUAGUAGCGAUUGAUGAAUUUUUAUUUUUAUUCAUAAUUUUUCUAUUUUUAUAUGUUUAAUCUUAGUUGGCCAUGGAUGAUGGCUUGGUAUGGUUUAGAAUGAACUUAUGGAGUGUUAAUUGUAGCUAUUUGCGAAAAUUUUCAGUUUUGUGCGAAAAUUUCAGCUUUAGGGUUCCGAUUUUCCCUGUUCUGUCCGGCUUUAUUUGAGCAUGUUAGAGGCCGAAUUAGGCUUAGAAUAAAACAUAAAAGUUGUAGAAAAUGAUGUUAACUAGCUGCUUGCAAAAUUUCAGCUCAAUCGGAGCAGGGUAUCUUGUGAAAUGACAAAAUUGCCCCUGCUGCCCUGUUUCUGUCAAAAAUGAUGAUCAGCCUCUGUAAGUGGUUAGUUUGACCAGGAAUAUAACCGAAUUGGUUGUCAAUGUCUUCUUAAGAAUUAUAGACUUGUAUCUUAUCUUUCAGAUGGCUUUGGAAUUACCUAAAUCGGAGUUGUGUGUGCUGAGAUAUGAUUGAAUGAAUCAGGACUGCUAGUUGAAUUUCACAAUGAGCUUCGAACUGGAAAAUCUGGGGUUGUUUUGAUAAAUUUGACCUAGUUAGGGUGAGAACUGGACUAAGUAGUCUUCAUCAAAGUUAUAACCCUCUGUCUUAGCUUUGAAACGGUAUAACUUGCACUUCAAUCCAAUAAGUGUAGUUUCGGUUAUGUCCGAUAUGCUAAGUAGCAGUGAAUCUGCCUUUUUGGUUUCUUAGCUUAAAGCUCAUUUGCGGUCAUUUUCCUAGCUAAAUCUUGUACUUGAAUGACUUUGAGCCUAUUGAAUGGCUGUUGUAGUGAAUUUAUAUUGUGUACGACUUAGGGAUUGAUUGAGGAAAAUAAUGAAGCCAUAAAUGGCUGGAAAAUAGGUAAAUACAAAGGGCGUGCUGCCCAAAUUUACACUCGAGAAUUAGGUAACGAUUUGAGAGCGAAUACCAUAUGAACCAUCUAGGAUAUUUGUGCCCUCUUUUAUCAAGGUAUAUAAGUUCGAAUCAGACCGAAACUUGUACACUUGAAAAAAUAAAAUUUACGACUAAUAGAAAUACGUUUUCUUCAUUUCUUCGACUCAAAUGGAUAUUUCAAAGUUUUAGGAGCGAGCAUAAGUUUUCCAAAUAUUUUACUCAUGUCCUUUGGUUUAAAUGUACUCUUUUCACUUUCAAAAUCAUAUUUAUACUUUAUACUAGUAGUAUUUGAAUUGUCUUCGAUUCACCUAACUUUUGCUGGAGGAACUGUAAUAUUUUCUCCUGAUUAAUCUUAGGGUUCAUCGAUGAUUGAGAAUGUUACCCGGAAAGAUAUUCUGGACGUUAUUUUGCCUUCAUAGGUGAGUGUACCACUCCCCUGAAUUGUUGUUUACUCGGUUCAUCUAUACUUGAAAUGUGUGACAUGGAUAACUAUGAACUGUGUUAUUCUGAAUGAGACGAGGGUGUACUUUAUCACACUCGUUCUCUUGCCUGUACUGAAUGAACUGGAAUCUAUUACUUGUUAUUUGUACUUGUUAUGUACUUGAAUUUGUUACUUGCACUUGUUAUGAGAUCGUUUGGAAGUGUGUCCAAUGAUCUUCCUGUUAAACUUGAGCUCAACCUCAUGGGGAGUUAAUUAAAUCGAGCCAGCAAGGGCUUGGUCGAGGUAAUUGACAAUCCAUGGGUACCUGUUCCUGGGGAAUCUUUGGGUAUUGAGACUCUUGAUUCCGGUAUACUCGAGUAUUACCAUUACUGUUCCUGUUCGAUGUUCGGGUCCGGUAAGGGGUAUGUUUGGUGAACGGGAUUUUGGCGUAAGAGGGAUCUACGGACACGAGUGUGUUAUUAAACGUUGACGGAGAGUUAACGAGACUGGAUCAAGUAUUGCAACGGGGAUUUGGCUCCUGAGGGCCACCUAUAUCCUUUAAAUUGUGGUGUUCGUUUAUUUCUCUUACUUGAUGUGUAUAUGUGCCCUAAAAGUGUUUUCUCAUGAUUUCCACUGUUAUACUUUUGGUACCUCAUUAAGCUUCUAGUUCACCCCGUUCCAUUAUCCUUGUUUUCCUUACAGGGAACCACUUUUGAAACUGUGAUUUUGAAGCAUGAAUCGAGCUAGUUUAGAUAUUUUGUAUAGCUCCUCAAUGGUUGGAAACCCUAAUUGCACUUGGAUUCUAAUGUUCCCUUUUGAUUUGUAAAAAAAUGAAUGUGGUUUAGAUAAGCGUGUAUUCAUGUUCAUGUGUUAUAUUUGGUUUGUAUAAGUCCAUUUCAAGGAUUAUAUGAAGUUACUUGUAUUCGAUUGGGUCCUGGUCGGAUUGUGACGUGGCCGGCGCUAUUCACUUUCCGUUUCGAUUUUCGUUUUUUUGUUUCGUAAUUUUUGCUUCGUUUGAGCGCGCUAAUACCUUCCGGAACAUUUUAGACUGUACGUAACCGUGCUAGUAGUCCUGGCGAGAGUUGGGCAGACAGUCCGCUAACCCCUUUGGUACGCCUUAGGGGAAGGUGGGGCUGUCACAACAUCCAUCUCCCCAAAUUCCUUGUAAAAAGCAAAGAUUAAGCGGCCUUCAGAGUCUCGGAGUAAACCACCCCCAAAAGCUCGCUUGUGAAAGACACUAGCGUCCAUAUUCAACUUGACAUGAUGCGCCGGAGGGCGUUUCCAAGACACUGCAUGUGCGUGUUUCCUCCUCGCCAAUCGGGUGCUCAACCGUGCCCAAGGGUCUCUCGCAUCUCCCCUAAAAUGGUCCGCAGAGAGUAUCUUUGCCACUCCCAGCUAUUGCACAAAUCCGUCAACCAAAGCAAUAACCCUACAAGCCGCAAACGUCGCCCCCUCGAAGAGCGCCUUGUUCAUGGACUUCCAUAGGAACCACAGAAUUACUAGCGGGACCACAGUCCUUAUGUGGUCCCGUGUAACCAGUGAAGUUGAGCUAAACCAAGACAAAACCAUCCCAGACACCGAAGAGGAGUGGGAAUCAAUAAUUCCAAACCUCUGUCGAAAAGCGCUCCAUACCUCUAUUGCUAUUGGGCCUGUCAUGAAGAGGUGAACAAGUGAUUCUUUCGGCGAGUGGCAACAUAAGCAACAUGAUGCCAUGGGGACUCCCCGACACUUCAGGGUCGCAUCCAGGGGAACCAGAUUACGCAUCACCUUCCAUGCAAAGAAAGACAGCUUCAAUGGCACUAAGCUGGUCCAAGUGAAAUCGUCCACUAGUGAGGUGUUGCAUUUCAAUCGAAUGCUCUCCCGAGCAGCCUUGGUUGAGAACUCCCCCGAGGCGAGCGCACCUAAACCAUACGAUCGUGUUGUUCUGGGAACACUUGAAUUUUCUGAAUCUGACUAACCAGAUAAGCAGGCACCCAGUGCCUCAGCUUCUCUAUAUUACAGCCCCUGUCAUCAAAGAACUCCGCGAGCAGCAUGUGGGGUGGGUCAUUAAUGGAGAGCAAGUCCACCAGAAGGACCUCAAAGACUUUUUCCACACACCAUCUGAUGUUACUCUCUGCUGCCCUUCGAAUUCCCUCCAACCGCCUCCAUGAAGGGGAAGGUCUAGCUACCUGAGCUUGGAACGGGUGUGUACCCCUAACAUAUUUGGCGUGCAUAAAAGCAGCCCAUAAUGAAUCGUUUUUCUGCAACCGCCACUAGAGCUUGCAAACAAAGGUUGAGCACAUGUCCUCCUAGGAGCGAAAACCCAACCCGCCUUCAGCCAUUGGAUAGCAGACCUUUUCCCAAGACGUCCAAUGAAUGCCUUUGGAGUCAGUAUUUUUAUCCCAUAAAAAGGCCUUACAUACCUUUUCCAGCUUUAGCAAAACUGCCCGGGGAGGAUCCAACACUUGCAGCAAGUACAUAGCCAUUGAGGUAAGAACAUGCCUCAGUAACACUAAUUUACCUCCUGACGAUAGUAACCGUGAGCUCCAGUGGAACAGGCGGCCUUGCAUUCUAGCCACCAGGGAAUCAAAUAGAAUGCACGUCGUUCUGCCUUUGAAAAUGGGGACCCCCAAAUACGUGAACGAAAGGUACUGCUGAUGGAACUGCAACAUCGAGGCCACCCUUGCCCCAUGUUCAGCGGACGCUCGAGCCGACAAGAUGAAACAGUUUUUAUGGGUAUUAAUUUUCUGAUCCCAAAAAGCCUGGUAGGAGUCGAAGAACAACUUCGAGGAGGCCAACCCACCCUCGGAGCAGCAAGUGAAGAUCAAGAUGUCAUCCGCAAAUGCCAAGUAAGGGAUACGCAGCCCAGAGAAGACAAAGAAACGACUCUCAUCUUGACAAAAUAAAUGAUGCAGUCCUCGGCCCAAGAAUUCUGCCACCAGUAGAAAUAAAGCCGGGGAGAGCGGGUCGCCUUGGCGAACCCCUCUUGAGGAUUUAAAGAAUCCCACUGGAGAGCCAUUGAUUACACCGAGAACCAAUUUUUUGACAAUUUUCAGAAGAGCAGAUCCACCACCCACUCGUGAAACCCAAAUUUUCAGAGCAUAAAGAUAAGAAAGCUCCAUUCAACCCUGUCAGACGCCUUCUCCAUAUCCAGCUUCAGUAUCAAGUUCAGGCAUCAUAACUUCCUAUCAAUAUCCAUUGCCAGUUCCUGUGCUACGAGGAUGUUGUCUGCAAUACCCCUGGCCGCAACAAAACCUGCCUACCAUGGCAAGAUCAGUUUAGGAAGCAUAUGAUUGAGUCGGUUCGUUAGAACUUUGGAAAUAAUUUUGGAGCUUAGGUUACACAGGCUGAUAGGUAUAAACUCUUGCCAUUUAGUCACUCCCGGUACCUUUGGGAUUAGCACAAUCAGUGCACUGGAGAAGCCUCUUGGUUUAGGAGCCCCUUUGAAGAAGUCGUGAACCGCCUCCAGUAGCUCAUUUUGAAUAACUGGCCAACAGGCUUGGUAGAAGCCUGCGCCAAAGCCGUCCGGUCCCGGUGCACUAUCUUUUGACAUCGAGAACACCACCUCUUUUACUUCCUGUAGCGUUGGCAACUGUUGGAGCUUCAUAUUGUCCUCACAAGUCAGGGAGGGGAGCGAGAAUUCCAAGCUUGGAGCAGCCCAGCCCUCCCGUUCCGUCCGGAACAACUUCGCAUAGAACUGCUCUGCCGAAGCUUUGAUCUCCUCCUCGUCCUCUAGCCAACAGCCCGCAUCAUCCUUGAUCCUUGAUAUAAAAUUAACACUUCGCCACUACUUAACGAACGAGUGAAAGAAUUUUGUAUUGGCUUCGCCCUACUGAAUCCAUUUAAGUGCCGAUUUUUGCUUCCAGUACUCACACUCUACGCCUAAUGCCUGUGCAUACCUUGCCCGAGCCUCCCCCAGGUUCAACCUAGAUAAGUCAUCACGAGCCGCGUCAAACUCCUCCUGCCGCUGUCGUAAGUUUUCCUCAGCAUCUUGCCCGAGCCUCCUGCCCUAGGUUCUUAUGUUGAUUCUUCAUUUAUAAUUACUUCAUCUAAAGUAUUUAUUCUAGGAGUACUUAUUGUUAGUGAUUGUAAAGUUUGAGAUAUUCUACCUAAAAUUGUAUCUGUUGAAUUAACAUUUUGUACUAAUUCUUGUUCUCUUUCUCUUGGAAGGCUUCUUGGUAGAAAAUGAGGAGCUGAAAUAUCAUUUGGGAGUCUAGAAGUUGGUCUUUGUAUACUAUCAAUUUUUGUAGUUACUAUUUCUAUAUGUUGUGAUAUUGUAUGAAGUAUUUGAUUUGCAUAGUUAUUCUGUUGAUAUAAUUUUUUAAUAUCUUCUAUACUUACAUUAUUAUUAGUACUUGUUUUAGCUUCUCUUCCUUUUUAAAAAGGUGAUGCUGUUAUUUCUCCUUGUCCUAUGUUUAUUUUAAUUUCUUGUAACGGAGGAUGUAUUGAUGUAACUAUUUGAUCAUCUUUUAAUUUCCGUUUUUAUGUAAAUUUGUUUGUACAUUUAUUUGAGGUGUAUUAUAUACAUCAUUUAUUCCUAUUUUUGAAAUAUAGAAUGAUAGCCAAGUAAAGAAGGGAAAAUCAAAUUUUCUUAUUUCUAAUUCCUUUUUCCAUUCUAUUAUUAAUUUUUCUUUACAAUCGGGUAAUAAUUGAAAAAGGAAAAAUCGUUCAAAACGUCCCUCACAUUUUGUAAAAUGACUUUUUUCGUCCCUCACUUUUAAAAAUAUACUUUUACAUCCCUUACAAAUUCACAUUAAUCAAAUUUGAUCCUUAUCUAGGUUUCUGACUAGUUUUUUGUCGGAAUCCACCACGUGCCUUGCACGUGACCAUUUUUGAAGAGUAAAAUUGUUACAUCAAAAUUUACAUCAUCCAAUCCAUAGUCUCUCACAUUUCACAAAAUGAAUUUUUUCGUCCCUCAUUAUUCAUGUGUAUGAAUAAAUUUUUUUUAAACUAAUGUAUAUAUCGAUUUGAUCUCACAUAAAUAAUACGAAUAGCAUGUAAUACAUUUCUAUUUGAUUUCUCUUGAACGUACUGUUCAUGUGAAAUUAAAAUAGAUAUAUACAGGGGUUUAAAAAAAAUUAUUAGUUUUUCACUCAUGUUCAUUUCUUUUACUUGAAAAUUGAAAAAAAAAAGAAGACAUUUAAUUCUAAACAUUAUCAAGUGUUUAUAUCGAAUUAAAUUUAGACAGAAAAAAAAAUAAAUAAAGGAAAAGUAUGACAAAAAGAAGUAAGUAAUUGACACUUUCAAAUUUUAAAAUAAUCAUAAGGCAAGAAAUUCAACUGUUGGUUUUAAAAAUAGCGAAUAAAAAUUUCAAAUUUAAACUGCAAUUUGUAGCAUGACUAUAGAAUUCGAAUUAACACCUAUUAAUUAGAUACUCUUAUUAAAAAACUCAAUAAAUGAAUUAUUACUAAAAUAGAAAAGACUACAGAUAUUGAAUAGAUUCAUAUGGUGAAGUCACAUAUAUAUAGGUUUAAAAAAAAUUAUUAGAUUUAAACCCAUGUAUAUAUCGAUCUGUUUAGGUGAAAUCAAAUAGAGAUAUAUUACAUAUUAUUUGUACUGUUUAGAUGAAAUCAAAUAGAUAUAUACAUGAAUUAAAAAAACAUUCGUAAACGUGGUCAAUGAGAGAUAAAAAAAUUUAUUUUGUGAAAUGUGAGGGAUGAAACAAUUCAUUCUGUGAAAUGUAAGGGACUAUAGAUGGAUUAUGUAAAUUUUGAUUUGACAAUUUUGCCCCUAAUAAAUAAUCACAUGCAAGGCAUGUGAUGAAUUCCGGCCAAAAACUAGUCAGAAACCUAGAUAGGGACAAAAUUUGACCAAUGUAAAUUUGUAAGGGACGUAAAAGUACACUUUUAAAAGUAAGGGAUGAAAAAAGUCAUUUUACAAAAUGUGAGGGACGUUUUGAAUGAUUUUCCCAUUGAAAAAACCAAAUUCUUUUUUCUAUAUUUUCUUCAUCAUCAAAAUCUUCCUGUAAAUAUUUAUAAUUUAUUUGAAAAUUACCUUUAUUUAUUACAUUUAUUUCUGCUUUCAUCUGUGAAUGUGUUUGUGAAUAUUUAGAUUGAUUUUCAUUUAUUACCUCUGGAACUGGGGUUUUAAACUUGAAGGUUGAAUUUGUUUCUAUGGGAGAACUAAAGCCAAUAGACUCAUAACUAGAUCUUUUGGCUGGUAACUAGGAAUGGCUUGAGGUUAACUGUCUUUCUCUGAAAGAGGGAAAUUUUAAUAAAAUUUUUUGCAUCAUGGUCUUCUAUCAUUUCUUCUACUUCUGUUCUUUCUAAAUUUCUGGGACUUGUGGAUUUUGUAUUUGAAAUUCAAUAGGUACUGUAUUUCGUUCCAUUUUAAUCUCUUUGGUGUGUAUAUAGUUGGUCUAUCUGCUUCUACUUGCAAUAUAGUGGUUUCAUCUUUUAAAGUUGGAGUCAUUAUAAAUUUUGGAUUUAAUUGUGAAGACAAUGGUCUAUAAUACAUUCUAUAAAUUACAGCAAAAUUUUUUGUAUGUCUUUCAAAUUCAUCUCCUUGUAAAUGAAUAUCUAAAACUAUAGAAUUCAAAACAUGUGGAUCAGUUAUAUCUACUGAGAAAUCAGCGGUGCAAGUGAAAUAAAUUGGUCCAUUACAUACAUUUGUUUGAAUCAUAGCUAGUAAUGAAGUCUUAUAUCUUUUUAACCUCUUAUCUCUUAAUGCGAGAUAAAUUGGAGCAUCUACCCCUAAAUGAACUAAUGGUUUGACUGCUACUUGAAUUAAUCCAAAGUGAAUAUAUCUAUAACCUUUACUUAAAUAUUUUUGAAUAGUAGUAUGAUUCAACAAUGGAAUUGUUUGAAAUUCUUCUUGUAUAGAUAUGGUUUCUUCAUGUGUUUUAACAAAUAAAGCUGUUUUGAGAUCUAGAGUUCCUAUCCCAUAAAUAUGUUCUAUUUUUUCUUCAGGAAUAGUUCAAUCUGAAUUGUUUAUAGGCAUAUGAUAUUCAUGACUCUGUACUAUGUGUGAUUGUUUUGAACUAGAUCCUAUCUUUAAUUGUCUAAAGAAUGCAGCCAUGUUUAAUAUCAUUUAUCCUAAUGGGAACAAUCGAGCCUAUGCGUGGAAUAUCCUAUCCUGGACUUGCCAACCGUCUUACUAAGCUUCAAAAUCUUACCAACACUAAGAUAGACUUAUGAUAUUAAACAUGAAUGUAUUAUUUAAAAAUUAAAUAGUUGGAAACAGUUCAAAAUAACAACAGGGUACUUAAGGGCUUAUUUAUUCAUAAAUUAUAUUUUCUAUCUAUUCUCAUCUAGGAUAAUUUGUACAUUUUGUAAUUAAUCAAAAAUCUGGUCCACAUUGAAUAAACCAAGACAAGAUUAUGGAAUUUUUAAACUUCCAUUUUCUAUAAAUUGGAGAAUGUUAACUAUUACAUGGUCUAUGGUUAAUUUUUCGAAACUAGUUUAGUAUUGUGACAAAUCCAUGUUGAACAUUUAGCUGAUUUGAGCCCUAUGUAAAAAAGAAAACCUAGUAUUAUUUAUUUUGUUCAUCUUACAAAAGAAAGUUUUCUUUUUGAAUUAUUGGUAAAAAGAGAAUUCCUAAUGAAAGGCUUUUAUGAGGUCUAAUAUUUGUAAUUAACAUUUAAAUUGAAAGGGAUUUAUUGUUCUAACUAUAUGGGAAAGACAUCUAUAGUUCAAGUAUUUAAAACCAAUCAUUUGAUCUGUUUUUGAUGAACUAAUUUUUUACCGAAAAAGAAACUAAUUUUUUUCAAAAGGGAAUGAUAUGCUAUCUUUAAAAUUGAAUCAAUAAAAUAGUAGCUAACUAAAAACUGGAAAAAAAAUAGAAAAAAAAACAAUUCAUGUUUUUUUCAAACAUUUUCUACGUAAAGUGUAUUUUGAUCGAUACCUUUAUUUGGUAUUCUUUCUUAUUUAAUUCUAUAUCUUGUUCCAUAAAAGAGUAGUUUUGACAUUAAGAUUACUAUUGGUACGCUAGGAACAAAUGUUUUUGCUUUUGUGUGGGGCAACGGCUAUAAUUCUAAGGGUGUGUCAUUAAGUUCAUGCAAUUUAGAGAAAAAAAAAUCCUUAUUGAAAAGAAAAUCAAAGAGAAGUUAUAGGAGUUUUUUAUGGAUCUAAACAACAUAACAAAAUAUUACUUCCAUAGUGAGGGCUUUUUGGCGCACAAAAAACAAUGGGUCAUCUACAUGAAUUUUUUAGGGGUAUUUUUAUUAAACUUAAACUACAUAUGGGUGUUUUAAUAAGACCUUUGAUGUGGUAUUUUUAGAGUUUGUAAUGUGUUUUUUAAGGGUAUUUUUGAAGAUAGCAGAAAUAAUUACUCUGUGCUGCUGCAACCACCAAUAUGUAUCCCUCAAUAAAGAUAACGGUCUAUAUCUUAAAAAUUUUAAAUUGUUACAAUCAAAUGGUCAGAACUACUUAUUUCACACCAUUCAAUGAUGGAUUUAAUAUGAUAUGCAAAAGACUCUACAGUUUAGCCAUGCCUAAAAUACAUAACUUGUAUGGUCGUUACGACAAACUCGAAAUUGGUAUUGGAAUUUCUACAAUUACUUAAAUGCACUCUAUUAAAUACUUUUAUCAUAUGAAAACACAAAUUAGAAAUCCAUACCAUUUUGUUUUCGUGAUGCUUAACAAUAUUAAAGAAACUAUUUAGGUGUUUGAAAGGUUGGUCUAUAGAGCUUGAAAAUAUCAAUACGUCAUUGAUAUAAACAAUUAUGAAUGUGCUAUAAGGGUUGAAUAUAUCAUUCAUAAUAUUUUGAAAUUUCGAUGGAGCAUUUUUUAGACCAAACAGCAUUACUUUCAACUCAUAAUGCCUAAAGGGUGAUGUAAAUGCUGUUUUGUAUCUAUCUUCUUCUGCUAUAAUGAUUUGCCAAAAUCCAAAUUUCAUGUCAAAUUUUAAAAAUAUUUUUGCAUUAUAUAAUCUAUUAAGAAGAUCUGUUUUAUUUGGAAUAGGAUACCUUAUCCAUUGCAAUAUCUUAUUAAGUAGUUUAUAAUUAUUACUAAUCUUGGAAGACCUUUUUUUUCAGCUUGAUUCAUAGCAUAAAAGGUAGCACAACUCCAUGGAGAUUUUGAUGGUCUUAUUAAUUUCUUUUCUAAUAAAGUUUGAAUAUCUUCAUUACAGAAUUCUAGAAAUUCAUGAUUCAUUUGUAUUGAUCAGGCUUUUGUUGGAAUAUUUUUCUGUGAGAAAUCUUUUGCAUAUGGCAGGUUAACCAUAUACCUAUUUCUCUCCCAAAAUGCAUUUGGUAAAUCUUAACAUACUUCACUUUUAAUAAGAUUUUCUAAAUCUAUUUUUUUUAAAAGAACUAUUUUUAAGCUGUUUCUCAAUUUGUAAAUAGGAUUUUUCUUCCUUUAAGAAACUAAUUUGUUUUAUUGUUUGUUACAUAAGAUUAAUUUGCUUAUAGAUCGAAGAAGAUUGUAAUAAAGAAAGUUCCUUUUGUUUUACUGGUGGUAAGAAAUUUGAAAGAAAAUUGUUCUACCCAUUAUAUUAGUAUUAAUUCCUUCUGAAUCUACUGAGAAAGGAUAUAUUUGAAUUAAAAAUGGAGUUCCUAAUAUAAUAUCUUGAUAAAUAUUACUAACUACUAUGAAUGAAUGUCUAAAACAGUAUUCAUCAUUACAAAUUACAACUUUUGACAGCUUAUAAUUAAUUUGGAGAGGUUCUCCAUUUGCGGCUAAUAAUUGUUCAUUAGUCCUCUGAAAAUGCCAUGAUUAAAUUGCUCUACUAUUAUAGUUACUAUAACAUACCAUUUUUGAAAAUCUAUUUCUCUAAUAUUUAUAAAUAUUGCUGAUUUGAUUGUUCUUUAUAGAAGAGAAAAGAGCUGAAAGUUGAAACCUGGAAGAUGAAAGGUUUUUUCUCACCUUUUGCUUAGGGUUGUGGAACCAAAUCAGGAUCUCCUCAAACCUGAUGAAGAUACAAAUAGGAAGGCCAAUGCUGAGAAGGAAGACGAAAGGUAAGAAACAGACUAUAACGGCUGGCAAAUGGAGGCAACAGAAUAAGGAAUUAGAGUAAGACGCUCUUUAAGUUUUAGUCUAUAAAUGCCCUCGAAUGUUACAAAACUGUCAACAUACCUAGAAAUGUUUCAUAGUCUAUAAAUGUUGUCCAUAAAUUUAACUUUAAACUUGUAAGUAUGCACUGAAUUAUAUAUUAUUUUGAUUAUCUAUUAUUAAAUAAGCAUUUAUGACGUCAUUCAAUUGAAUCCAGCAAACCAUUGAUCCUUGACCCCUAAGUUCGACCAAAUCGCAACUAGGUCCAAAUUCAAAAUAUAGCGUGCAACAACGUCCAGUUUAUCCCAUUCCCAUACAACUUCAAUAAUUUCGAGUAUUUGCUGUAUGGAAAAUAUUAACUGGCAUCACAAUCUGUAACUUGGGAACUUAGGUGGUCAUUGGUUUUUUGUUAGGUAAAUUAUGAAGUAAAACAAUUUGACAUCUGUUUGUAUAGGUGUAGUUCUAUGACCAUUCAAAAACAGAAUUACAAAAACAAAAAAGAAAAUCAAUAGAGCAUGGAUUACUUUUCCAUUUUUUCUUAUCUUUUUAAAACAUGAUUUGAAUAUAUAAAACAAUAGAUUCUUGAAUGAAAUUCCCAUAGUGUACUGUCCUCAAAUCCAGUUUGAAGAGGCAAGCAUGCAAUAUGUACUUUUGAACCCUACAAGACGAACAUGCCAACAACUAAUUAUACAAGUAUGAGCAAAUUAGUAAUGGAUUGAAAGGUAACUGCUAGACUGGUAGCAGUGAGAAUGGUUGUUGAAAAGUGAAAAUGUCAGAUAAAGCACUAACUAAUUUAAGCUGAGCCCUUCUAGGCUAAGCAAACUGAGGCUACAAAUACCACGAUACUCGAAAGUAAACCUCAAAUACUUAUCAAUGUUGUUGUAGAAAAGGCCACUGUGAAAGAAUGCGACCACCACCUCCAGGGCCAGGCUUUCUUGGUGGUUUGUGCAAUUGCAUAGCAUCUUGGUUAGUGGUGACUACACUGCAUUCAGACGUGGGAAAUGAGUAUAUUUGUUACAACACUUCUUGGUGAUGUCAAAGUUAAUGCAUUACAUUCAUUCUUGUAUGGCUGAACAUUGACAUUUACUCUUAAAUCUCAAUGGUCUUGAUUCUUGAAUGUGCUUCUAAUCUCGUUGUUGUAAAGGAUUCAUUGGUCAGUUUGCUAUUAUCAAUAUCUUCUUAAUUUUUAUUGGUUGGGUUCCAAAAUUUCAUAUAUUACCACCUAAUAUGUGUCUCGUGUACAUCUUGCAACUUGAAAUUGCAGUUUAAGUAUCUUGUGCUGCUGCUGGUAGCUACAAGACUGCUUUGGUGGUCCAAUGCGGCCGCCUGGACCAAUCGGACCGCCUCGGCCUUGAUUAUAAGCUGCUUCUUCAACCUUGCUGAUGCCUCCUGCGUUUACAUGAUUUAUAAUCUACCAGGAAUACCUAAUCAUGUUGUUCUACUGUUUUGAGUGAUAAUGGGGCAACAAUCUUACUUUUGUUAUUAUUAUUAUUACUACUUAGAAAAAAUCAUGAACCUUCUUUAUUACAUUCUCUUCCAUUUCGUUUUUUCACUUAAUGGUAGUAACGUAGCAUAUAUCAAUCUUUCGACUCAUUUGAAUGUCUCGUUAAAAACGGUCUCGUUAAAAACUAAUGUUUGGGUGGAUUUCUUAAACAAUAUGACAUUAAAAAACAUCCCUUUUCCUUAGGCUAUUAAAGAUCAUGAAAAUCUGUAUCGUUCAUAUCAAUCUUAGGGAUAUAAAAGAUACUACUGAUCUAAAAAUUCUUUAUUACGUAUAUGCAUACAAAAUAAGAGGAAUUUGUAACCCCCUUCCAAAUGGAGACAGUCGUAAACUAGCACAAAGCAAAACCACUAAAAUGUUUUUCAAUUUCCCUACAAAAUUUUCUACAAAUUUUAUAACAAAGUAUAGUAAAAUUUUAUAUAAAUACUCAAAAAACACGUCAUCCAAACAGACUAAUUUUCUUUUAUCAUACCCAUCUAAAUGAGAGGGGGAUGGCAGGGGGGAUUGGGUGGGACUAUCUGAAUGACGGUACAACGGUACUGACAGACUUGAGACUUCAAUUCACUAGUCCCAAAGUACCAUAAUGUAGACAAACUAAAACUACAUGAUUUUUCAAGAUUUGCUUAGCAAAUAUUACUAAAUUAAAGCAUCUGCCAAAAAUGUGAACUUAAAAUAAAGCAUGUCUUUAUUGUAUCUUUGAUUUUUCCAUGAGAAGGGAAUGGUAAACAUCAAACAGGCAUGACACAUUUCAGUCAAUCAGAGAUCAAGAAGGCAAGGUCAAGAUUAGAAUCUACUGGAUAGUAUUAUAAUAAUAAUAAUAAUAAUAAUAAUAAUAAAUAAUAAUCAGCUGGAACUGAUUUGCAAACUGAGCAACUAGGAAACUCGUUCGAAAAUGCUUGCACUAUGAGUCGAUUUCCAUUCCGUCAGAUCUUCCUUCUAAACGCAAAAGACAAUUUUAAACUGCGGACACCUUGAGGCAAAAAAGGCGAGGAUGAACUAAAUUCACUGCAUAAUUGUUCAAAAGGGAUGAGGGGGUACAAAUUCCCCAAUCACUUAACAACAGACAACAAAACAGAUUAUUAGCAAUGAACUGCCUUUCAUCAAUGAAUUUACAUUGUUAGUGUUAUAUUCUUUACUACAAUGCAAAACCCAAAAUUUACACUUCCAUUCAGCAUAAUCCUUCAAAGUUAAUACUCACUCCAUAAUCCUUCAGUUCAUGGACAAAAAUGGGAAAUUGCUCGUGAGCAAUUUGUCUGACCACAGACAGAAUGUUAAAAUUGCAGAUGGAAGCAGUUGCCAGAAGUCAGAUCGUGCACGACCGGCAGACAGGUUAUAAGACCUCCAUGAAGUUCUAGAACAUAUACACAGCCUCCAAGCAAUCAAGGUAAGAGGAAAAGGGGGUGAUGAUCUCAAGCACUUGAUGAUGAUACUCGAAGAGUUCUGAUAGACAGAUCUUGAAAAUCGGUGACCUGAUUUAAACAUUUUAUCAAUCCUCUUCUUCAGAUGCUUCGUUCAACCACUGCCAAAUUGUACAGAUGUUUAAGAGAUUAGCAUCUGGCAAGCACAACUACAGGAAAAGGAUCACAAAGCACUUGCGGUCAUUUAACUCCGCUAAGAACAAACUAUAUUUGGGAGCUUUGGAAGCAACAUAUAAGAAGAGAAGAAAAGAAAGAAAGGCAGGCAUGUCGAUCUACUUUUAUCGGGAGAUUAGGACGGUAUAUAAAAACAAUUUGCUUUCCUCGUCUUAGGAAAGAUGCAAAGGGUGGGGGAAGGAAGGCAAGUUCAAGUACCUUUUCAAAUAUUGUGUCCUUGUGAUGAGAAAUUUCUUAGAUAAGAGAAAACUUAUUUUAAUGGAAAUCACAAGAAGUUAAAUAUCUUACUUAACUCUUUUCCCAUAAGUAGAAAGAAAACUAAACAAGUCAUGGUAGCAGAUUGGUCAUUAAGCAGGCUCUGAUAGCGAUAGCUUACUUACCAUGCAAAGCUUCUUGAGAUUGUUAAUUACUUCGCUAGGGAGCAAAAAUGCUCAACAUAUCUUCUACCCUCCCCAAACAUAUUUUCCAAACUACAUGAAAACCCUUUAGGUCUUCUAUCACAUUGAAUAAAAUUCCCCCAUCAACAAUAAUCGAAAUCAUUCGGAACCCUUCAAAGCUCAAGGAAGGCAAAGGCGUGACAAGGAAAAAGUAUAAGAAGAACAUUUAGUUUAGAGCAUGCUGACACAGAAGGUAGUUACAAUUUUGGAAAAUUCACCAAAACUACGCGAACAAGGCAGAUCUGACGAGAUCCAUACUUUAACGCUAAACAAAAUGGUCUGCUCAAACACAAUUAUUUACCUGGAUGAAUUUUUCUGCCUGCUUGACAAAUAGCUUAUCAGUCUCAUCAGCACCUUCCUUCUCAGAUGCCCAGUUGAGUAUUGCUUCCUCUUGUAUGAUAUCUUUGUCAUAAAGAAGAUGCAGAAUCUAUAGGAAAAAAGUUGGUGCCUCGUUAUUAUAUAGCAAAAAAGUAAAAAGUCAUUCACUUCACGCAGCAUAUAUUAGAAACAAAUCUCAUAUAUUAGAAACAAAUCUAACAAUGUAUAAUUCCUCACAUCAAAAUGGAAAAGAUGUGGAAAGUUUGGAUCCUAACUGGUCUUACAUGAAGGCUACUACAUAGAACUACUUACAAUCAAAGAAGCCUUGCAAUUAAACCAGUCAAAACUGAAAGUUUUCUACAUCCGUUGCAUAUCAGUAGAUUAGCAUGCAGGGAACACCUCCUCCAAUUAAGAGGUUGUACCAAAUUGGAGAGUCACAACAAUACUCAACUUUCCAUUCUAAAUAUCAAUAAGCAGGGACUCUUAAAUGUUUCCAAAAAACAAGAGCAUCAAUGUCCCACGCCAGAGAACUAGUGAAUAUGUCACAUCAAAUGAGAAUGAGCAUAGGCUAGAACACAAACGUGGACGUGUAACUAAAGAAAACUAGUAGGAAACAAGAACAAAUGUAACACACAGCUAUCUUGCUCUUCUAGAACCCAGGAACAAGUCCAAAGUAAGACACAUUUGCUGCUAUUGAUAUGCAAAGAGGCAAUUACAUGAAAUUGUGAAUUACAAACUUUGGUUUGAAAGUAUGCCAUUGGUACCUAGCAUUCAAUGUGAGGCUACUUGUUCUAAUAAAAAGAUAAAAAGCUAGCAAGGAAAUUUCUAAUAUAUAUAUGUAUGUAUAGAUAUAUAUAGAAAGUAUAUACGUAUAUAAAUAUGUAAAUAUGUGUGUGUGUGAAAGUACUAUAUUUAGAAGAAAAUUUUCUCUUUCAUACGUGGCACCUCCAAUCGCUCAGCAUUUACGGAUUUUGUAUGGAUCAUCUGGAAUUUGGGUAAAACCCGUUUCUGUUGAUCAAACGGAUAAAAUUCAGUCCUAAUCACAUUGGUCUCUUAAUUUUCAACAUAAAUCCAAAAGAAGAGCGGUUUGAGAUAGUUUUAGCCAUAUUGAAAAAAGUUAUCUUCUAAAAAUAGGAUUAUAUAAUCUGCAUUUUAAUUCAAAUCUAUCAUGGGAUAUUUUUAUCCCCUAAUCUCAAAUUUUUCAUGGGGUUGCCUAAUUUUAAGGAUUCCAAAAUUCACGGUGUAUAAACAUGAGGUUGAGGAUGGGUAAUCAGAAAAAAGUUAUCACACAACAGGAUUUUUGAGACUUCGAUGAAGAUGAAAGAGGGAAGGCUCUGGGAACGUUCAAGAACUCCAACCCGAUGGUCUCAGAAUGCUGAAUGAAUUUUGGAUUUUCAUCUAAUGAGUUCAAUAGUGCUCUUUUUGCAAAAUUUUGUUUCAUCUCCUAGCAAAAUAUGCUCUACAAAUGAGUUUUGCUUGCCAAAUUUAUCCAUGUUUCUAUUAACUAAUUAAUUUGUUUUUGUUGUUGACAAUGAAAAAAAAAAAGGAGAAAUAGCGCGCUAUGAAGGAUAGCCAUAGAAGAAAAGUUGUGGCAAGAGUGGUCAAAGGAUGACUUGAAAAUUACAGGGCAAAAGUUUAAUCGUUAUUUUACUUCUCUAUUCAUAUUAUUGGACAAAUUUUCGUUUUUUUAUCUCUCCAAGCUUUAUUUGUGUGUGUGUGUUGUGUUUUUCUUUUUGUUAAUGUAUGGGCUUGAAAGAAAACAGAUCCAAAAACAAAAGUCCUAGCUUUUCAAAAAUAGUUUAGUUCAUAUGUUAUUUCACCAUUUUCCUAUUACCUUUCUCAUGGAAAUAAACAAUAAAAUUUCCAUGCAUGUGCACGGGUUCUGGUAGUGUUAUAGUCUGAAGAAUAUUCUAAAAAAAGUUUGGAAGAAUCACUUGAUAAGGCAUAGAAUUAUCUCUAACAUAACCAUGACUACUUCGUAAAUUAAUUUUUACACCAUUGUAUGAAGUUGAAGACUUCACAUAAGAAGCAUUGAAGCAUAAAAAGUUGAUAAAAACUUUUUUAAGAAUUGAUAAGGCAUAAAAACUUGAUAAGGCAAAAAAAGUUGGCCCUUGAUAAGAAGCAUUGAAAACUUCACAUAAUGUUUGAAGCAAUUAAGCAUUUACACUAUUGUAUGGCUGCACAUGAUGUGACAGCUAGAAGUCAUCUAACCAUAUGAUAAAUUAUCUCAUGACUAUUAACUUUAAUUUUCAACUAUUACUUGGCUAAGUUACACUACUUAUCCUUCAACUAGCAAAUGCAGUAUGACCUGAUUGUCCACACGAACAUGAAGGCUCAUGGACACAGAUGUAAAAAUUCAUCCUUACCUACUCUUCUUCUAUAUCAUAAAUUACUAAAGAAUCUAUGUCGGUUGGAAACAAGAAUGCGAUUGUAUAAACUGGAAUGUCUACAAAAUGAGAUCUAUCACUCCGUAAAAGACGUGUGCUUGUUUGUAUGUGUGCAAAAAGAGUUGGAGAUGCAAGAUACAAUUUCAAGCCAUAGAUCACAUUAGAGAAUAAGAGUAAUCAGCAUUUGCAGCAAAGAAGAAGACAUCAUUAACUCUGAAGACUGGGAUUCUCAGUACACUUAAUAAACUUCAUUAUCAGCAUCCAAGGAGACCAAUAUUCUAAAUAGCUUCUAUGAAAAACUUUCUGAUUUCACAUCAAUUUGCAGUUUGAUGAAACUAUUAAGAAAACUUUUGGAAUUAAAAAUUUAAUGGAGAUUAACAUACCUGUACAAACACUGUUGAAUACUCCUUUGCAGAUUCCAAGCACAUUUCUUCAAAUUUCAGUAUCACUUCGAUCUGAAGUAUAACAAAACUUUAGUUAAUAAUCAAAAACAGAAACAUACACUUAACCUAUACCCACUUAAAUUUCCAAGUGAAUAUCACUGCAAUAAGGUGAUUAAAGAACUUGUCAAUCAAUACAUCAAAUGCCACAGACAUCACUAAGAUCUCUCAUAAAAAGAGUCAUGACAAUGCGUUUUACUAUCUACAGGAACCUGUGCUUCUCACAAGUGCAGCAUUUUGUCAUAGAAAAAAAUAUCAUGCAAUUACUUCUUGCAAUACAUCCCCAAAAAUGUACUACUUGCAUUUGUUAAAGACACAGAUCUUAGGGGAAGCAAGAUAUUAGGCCUAAGGCUACCAUGGCCACAGCUUUGAAGAACAUUAAGACAAUAAUUUUGUAAAAGGGAUGCUUGGAAUUGGACCUAAGAUGAGCCUAAAGUAGUUGAGACUUUCUCUACAGCCAAAAGCCUGCAAUCUAAAAUUACACAAUGCAAUAACAAAUCAAACUGAGCAGUAAAACACCUCAUCAGGAUCAGAUGAAGAGAUCAAUAGACCAACCUCUUCAUCUAUACUUGGCAGGUAAUACUUCAAAAGUUUUUUCCAUUUUGUAAUGACAGUUGCAGCAUUUUUCACCAAAUCACCUGCAAUGAAGCAUAAACAAGCUUUUACACAAGCAAAGAUUUGCAUAUCCUCCUCAGUUACUUGGCACAAAGAGGGAAGUACCAACUUCAGUCACUUAAACAACAAAAUUCAACACAAUGAUGCUACUACAUUUCAAGAUACUAUUUGCUGGUUGAUUAUCCCUAUUUCUUUGUCUCUCUCUCUCUUCUGAUUUUAAAUACAAAGUGAUGCACUGGUUAUAAAAUCAAGACAGAAAACAAGGCUAAGGCUCAGUCUGGAAAAAAAAAAAUGGGCCAGUUUAUUCUGAACAAACUUCAAUCACCCAGGAUGAGGCUAGUUUCAUCUAGUCCUACUUUUUUUAAAAAAAUUGAUUCAUAAACUAGCUUUAGUUUUAACAACUAUAUAUAUUAGCAUGAUACAACAGGUUGCAUUUAUUACUAUAUAUGUUAACCAAAAAGCAAUCUAAUAGGUCCUAAAGCAAUUUGUUAAAGUCUAUCAAGUUACUCUGGUUUAAAAAGUUUCCAGUUUCAGGCCUUAAUUCAACUGAAAGUACACCCAAUUUACUCUUCAAAUAGAAACGUGUAAAGAAAAAAUCCAACUAUGUUCUUGAGAUAUACUUAACAAAACAAAAUAAUGAUACUGAUGUACAGGCAGUAGCAGCAGUAAAUAGUUACUCCUAACAUCCAGAAAAUUAACCAAACAAUAAUAGCAGAUAAAUAGAGUUAACAAGAAGACAAAAGAAGACUGUACUAGGUGAUGGAUGUGGUGCACUGAGUGCUGACUUCAUCAUUGAAUAGAAUAAUGCACCAGAACAAUCUGCAGUUGCCAAAUUGUACGACAACCUGAUGCAUAAAAAAUUAAGCUAUCAGAUAUGAUCAAGCAGUCAUCAAUAUAUAGGUUCUUUGCAAGAAUUGUUUCAUUGGAAUACUUAAAUUAGACACAAACGAUUCCACAUGACUAAAAGCGAAUGGUUUAGUUUUAAAGAAUAAACCUACAUGUAUGCAAAUAUAGAGGUGCCUCUGUGUGUGUCAAUGUGUCAGGGUGUGUUUUUGUGUUUCUGUGGCAUGAGUGAGGUGUUUUUGUGUUCUUGUGCAAUGCAAUAGAUAAAUAUGCACUGCAAACAAAGACAUACUAUGUAAACCUUCCCAAAAUUUAAAAAAAUAAAAAUAAAAAGUCAGCACUUCAUUAUUAUCUUCUUUAAUGUCAAUUAAGUAUGCAUGACUGAGUCUCCUCAAUUUAUGGUUUCACUUCCCAAAAUAUUUAGAAGUUCUUUUGAGAAGGAAGACCACAAUACGAUAAAGUUUCAUGCAGGUUCGUCAAUGGACUCAAUCUCUAUCUAACUCACCAGGAGGACACAAAUACCCUUUUUCUACACUCCUCUAUUGUCACGUCUUUAUGUAUAUCCAGGCACAAACAUCUCCAACAAAAUUUAGAGAAAACCAAACCACCCCAAUUUCCAAUGAAAUCUACAGCAACUUCCCAAAAAACAACCCCAAACAAACAUGCCAAGACUAAAUUAUCACCUCUUCUUCCUCCUCCACCACCCCCAGCACCCUCUCACUCCCAGCACCCACCCCACCCCUCUCAUCCCUCUACCUCCCCAAAACCAAAACCAUCACCCCCACCCACCCACACUGCUGCGCCCUCCCACCACCACCACCUCUACCCUCCUUCCUCCUUCCUCUUCCUCUCCCCUCUUUUCUUCAUCCCUCUUUUCCCAAGAUUUUGGUUGCGGUCAGGACCAGAUUCAGUCACAACCAAGGUUCAGACCAGAUCUGUCAGCAGAGCAGGGGUGGAGGAGAGAAAAGAGGGCAAGGGGACAGGUGGAGGAGGGAGGAGGAGGAGGGGGCAGAGGUGUGGAUGCAUCAGGGUGGAAUUGGGAGAGUGGGUAGAGGUGGUGUACUUGGAAGUAGGGGAGAGAGAAGAACACCACAGAAAAAACAUCUAACAACACACACGUCCAAAAACUUUUUUAAAAACUUUCUACAGUGAAGUUUCCUGAAAACAACCAAUCCAAACGGACCGUUAAUUAUUCAGCAAUACUUGCCCGUAGUUUUUAUUUAAGUGGCUAGAAUUACUUAACUCAUUCUUUCAGCAAUAUAGAAGUAUUACUCAUACUUUUAGAACUCAUCCAAUUCAUGUCAUGACAAAAGCAUUGAGAAACUAAUCCUGGCAUGCUUGUUUCAUCUUCAAGCAUGGGAUCUAUCAUCCCAUUUCAAGAAAAUUAUCCCGUGAACAUAGAUGACACUACCCAGAUGACAACUUGAUAGGACAAGAAUGUCAAGUGACUGUUUUGUACUCAUUUUGACUAUUAUCAGUAGUCCAGCAGCUAUCUCAUACUAACCAAUUACAGUACUGUACUAUCUUCAAUCCUAACAAUAAUGACGAACCUAAUGGUUGAUGACUGUUUUAAAGAGGAUGAGAAAUUUUAGGAUAAUUAAUCCUAGGAUGACUCGUCUUUCAUCCAAUCAACUAACCAAAUGAGCCAUCCAGUAUCAUGAUACUUUUGCAGCCAAGUAAGAACAGUCCAAACCAUUUUCUGGAGUAAAAUUUCCAAAUCUAUGCAUUUAAUGCAUGCUUUUGAAAAUUACCUUGAAAAUCCAGCAACAGAACUACGUACACUGUACUCCCAAGAAUUAAAUAAAUAGCUCAUGUCUUUGGUUUACAUGAGAGAUUCUACAUCACCAAAAUAGUUCCUGUUCUUCUAUCUACAAAAUUAACAUCACUACAUCUCACUUUAUAUUCCCUGGGAGCUUACUUUUAGAGCAACUCUGCUAACUAAAGAUCCCCAGGAAUUAAAAGAAAGAAGCAUUUUAACUUGCAUAGAUGUAGAAACCAUCUCACCAUUAAGCACUAAAACAACGUAAAACAUACCGCAAUGAGUUGACCUCCAAUAUUACAUCGUCUUCCUUAAUAUUCUCCUCUAGAGCCCGUUUAAAAGUAGCUUCAACCUGCAAGCGUAAAUGCAAAAUUCAUACUUGGGUCCAACAAAAACUGUUAAAGGACAGUAUGCCUAUAACCAAAUACCUCGUUCUCAAAAACCUCAUAGUCAUCUUUGACAUCAACAUCAUCAUCAUCAUAAUCAUUUGAAUUAGCAGUAACAGAAUCACGUUCCAGCUCCCCUGAAGGAGGAAGAUUGCCAUCUUGUUGCACCACCUCAAGUUCAUUGUUUGAGGUGUGCAUAAUUUCAAGAAGCUUGGCUGCAGGAAUAGGUGCAACUGAAUGCCUCCAUUCCUCUUCAUGGCUGCCCUCACUUGUGGACCAAAUGAAACCAACCCCACCACUACCAACCUGGUGAUUCAAAAUGGCUCGUUAUGCAUGCUAUAAAAAUUCUUUUCAGGUUUAUAUAGACUAGUCGGUACUGAGUCCUCUAAAUUACACAUCAAUCAAGGCUCAGAAAGCUAACGGACCAUGAAAUUUAAAGAAUAUUAUGGCUAAUGAGUAUAAGAUUUUCCACUCAAAUGAGUACCUUACCCAGAUAUCUCAUUCUUUAGGAUGAGACAGAAGAUACAGCAAGAGAGCCUUCUGUAUAAUUUCACCAAUCAUUCUAGAAGAUAUCAUUUUAAAAACAAACAUUUUUACAUUAAAAGAACAAAACUUUUUAAAACGCAGUAUAAACAAUUUUAAAUAUCCCUAAUGGAGUUUUUGUCCUGGAGAAGCUAAGCCAAGCAUACCCGAAAUUAAGAUAAAGAACCCCAGAAUUAGCUAUGCCAGGGCACUUUAUUAUUGCAUGAAAUCAGCAGAAUCAGCAGUAGUAUCCUCCAUUACAUGAACAACAAAAUCUUUCAACUUAUCAAAUUCAAUACCACAAAAUAAGAGAGAAUAUCUUAAGACUUCCGAGUAUAAGAGUUUCCUCUCAAAAUAGUACCUUAACCGUAAAUGUCAUUCUUUGAAAUCAGAAAAAACCACUAGGGAAUGAUUUUAAGAAGUCCUUGAACAUUUUGAGCAUCAAAAGAACUUAUUAAAAACAUCUACCCACGAUAUCAUACUAUGGUACAUUUCAAAAGCCCUAAUGAAGUUUUCUCCUGGAGAAGUUGCACCAAGCAUACUGUGGAUUUAUGAAAACAAAGAACCCCUAAGAUGACUGCUGCACUCAUGAAAUAAUAAUCCUGCCUCUUGGGCAUUUUACAGCUCAUUUAACCAAGUUCACCAAUAGAAACCAUGAUAAUGUGAUAAAUCAAGAAACAUUUCUGAACUUUUCACAGAUAAUGUGCAUCUGCUUUACGCUUGUCAAGAGUUGAAUAACAUGUCAAGAAAAGUACGGAAACAAGAAUUUCCACGAGUCACGAUAAAAUUGGAAUAUAACAGAUGCAUAAAUCACCAAGAAGAUAUCUAAAUAUUCAAAACAAAAAACUAUGACCUAAGUUACAAAUUGAUAGAACCGGUAACCAAACCUCAGAUGCAGCCUGCAGCUGCGACUCAGAUAAUUGUAUAGUUGACUCUUCCUUCAACUUAUCUGGCAAACCAGACAGUGCUGCACAACAAAUGGCUAAUAUCAGGAGUACUCCUGGAUAACUUAAAUAUGUCUGUUCUAAAAUAAGUAGCAAUCACCAAACACAAAGAAAAACACAAUAAACAAAUACAUGAAUAAAUAAACUAACAAAUAACUAUGCAUUAGCAUCACUAGCUAACUUAUUCUACAAGUCCAUCUGAAGUAACAUUAUCUAAAAGACAGCUACAUUGGAAGCCACAGACUGCAGUCUACUGACUGUUAACAAAUACUAAUGGCUUGAUAACACCAACAAAAUGACCAAGACAGCAGAAACUUCAUAACGAAUCUCUCAAAAUGGUCCAAUUUUAAAACAGGAUAUAUCAAGAUCUCCAAACUAGCUUGUCAUAGCUAAGAUCUUUAUAGGCUGAGCUGCACAGAGAUGGUUCCAAACUACACUAAUCUCAUUAAUCCCAUCGAAUGAAGCAGUAAUUUGACUUUUGGAUGGACCUGGCAUAAUACUUGGGGGCCCAAAGGAUAACAAGGUUGUUUAGCCCAAAAAAAAAAAAAGUGAAAGAAUUAAAAAGUGUAUAUUAACAUUAUCAGGAGCAGACAUCACCCAAACAUUACAACCCCAAUUCAUGAAUAAGCCCAUCAACGACUUGAUUUGGCACAACAUCUUUCUACCUGGUUGUAGGCUCCAAACAUUUGAGAUUCCGGGAUAUCCAGUUAAAACUUUGAUAUGGCAGCACCCAGAUGUCUAUCAACUCUAAUCAAUUCCCUCAUCUCUGGAUUUUCUCCAAUGUAAAAUUGCUACCAACCCAGAAGCUAUUUGAAGCACAAACAACCGAAACUACAGAUAUUCAAAAUGGCUCUGCCCCCAGAUUUGCUUCUCUUGAUAAGGAAAAAUCCCUUGAUCAAUCACUUUCCAUCUGCUCAUGCCCCAGAUUUGCAAAAUGACCACAAUAUCUCCCCCUCACUUCUACAGUAACUGUCUAGAUAUUAUUAUCAGGCACAUAUCUAUCACACUUAUAUAACAAGGUCAUGUUCUUUCUUUUGCUUAUCCUAAUUGAAACAAAUUUUUGCUUAAGCUUGAGUUCAGCAUCUCAGCUAGCUGUAUAUAAUUUUUGUUCCCUUAAAGGAAUAUCUUGCUUGUUGCAUGAUUGCCACCUUAGCAUUUCAUGCUAUAGACCAUAUGAAAUCUAUACCAUUUCAUGCUGUAAACAAGCCGAGAUAGUUGAAGGUAAGUAAUUACAUGAAGCAUCCAUGAAUCCACUGCUGCUGUCAGCAUAUUCCAGUUCCUCAUCACUAUCUUGUUUGAUGGGCUGCUGAUACAAGGAUACCUUUGAGUAUGCAGGAACAAUAAACUGUUGUCCUACCACAACCUGAUGGCAAAAAAAAGCGGCAGCUUAGAUCUAUGGUGCCAAUUAAAUUUCUGAAUGCUCGAAAAAACUAAUACGCAUAUAAGAAUAUAUAUGUGCACGACACAUCUGAAUUGGCAAAUUAAGCAACGAGUAUCAGGACAGAAGAUUCAUCAUUCACGUAUAAAGCACUUCAACGUGAUAAUGCAAUAAGAAUAUUUCACCAAAUAUGUUACUGAUUGUGUAACUUACUUGGUAUGAUUUCAAAAGAUGAAAUUAAUCAAUAGAGGAUAAAUUUCAAAGCCACAAUUACUGCAUAGUUUUUAUGUUAGGCACUAAGCUUAUGAAGAUUUCACAGUGAUUUUUUACACUUACACCAUAUAAACAUUCAAAAAAGACCACAAAGAAGUUCUAUGUACCAUUUUGAAUCCAUCUAAUCACAAUGAUCCUUAAAAAGUGCAUACAAGCCUUGCAAAAAAUGGCGUAACCAUAUGCCCUCCUUUGCACUGACCUUGUCAGACUUUCUAUUUGGAACAUCCCGCUUACAUUUCUUUAUAAGCAAAUAUUUGUAGAAAUGUCAACUUCUCAACGUAUUAUUUUGAGAAUUAUAAAUCAAUAGACAAUUAUUUGAGUAAUGUACUGCAUCAUACCCUUUUACUGUUCUCAUUUUCCUUCUCUUCUAAAACUAUUGGAAACAUCACCUUAAUACAAUACUUUUGCUUAUAUGUGGUGCUAUGUUAAAUAUGAUCCCAAACAGCACACUCUGUAGAACAGCCAACAGUAAGUCCUACCCCUGCCACUCUUAGAACCAAACCAGCUUCACCCACCCAAAGAGGCCACACUUGGUAUUCCCACCAGCACACAUGCUAUUGAUAUCUUAUACAAUAUAAUAAAGAAUACAGAUAUAAUUCUUUGGCAUGCUCGAAAAAACAAGCAUGCUGUCCAAAUGCUAAUGGACAAGCAUUUUUACAUGUUAAAUAUCACACACUUGAGCUAUCAAAUAUUAUCUUUCCACAAGGAUCUUUGUCAACCACCAUUAUUUCCCUAUGCCAAUGAAACAUAAUAAUCAUAGAGUUCUGUCACAGAAAAUCUGCAGCCAAUUAAGCUCGUCCAUUACUUGAAGGAUAAUGUUCAUGGCCUUCAUAGUAAGCUGAAAAAACAUGAAGUUCAAUAACUGCAUCCAGGUAAACAAGAGGAUGCUGUUUGCUGAGUAAUAAUAACAUACAACAGAAAAUUUUAUGAAGUUUCUCUUCUUUUCUACUUCUAGGAGAGCUUGAAAUUGAAACGUUAGUUAAAAAGGAAAACCUUGUAUGACAAGACUACACCAGGUUCGAGAAUCACUCCUGACUUUAUUACCACCCCAUCACACACUAUUGCAUGCUUUAGUUGACAACCAUCUUCAAUCGUAACAUUGUGCCAUAUGUAGCAACCCUCUAUUGAAACAUUUGCACCAAUUUUACAACCUUCACCAACUACUGAAUUUGAAAUUUGAGACUGGCUUCCAAUGGUAGUGCCACUUCCUAUAACGGUAAAUGGCCCAACUUGCGCAGAACGUGACUGCCCCACCACUGAACAUAAUCAAGUGACAGCAUCAGAAGGAACUAAAAGAUAAUGGUCCCAGUUCGCUCAGAGCAUUAGCUUCCACUUAAAAAAGUAUGGAGACCAUAUUACAAGAUAUACAUGGAGUAGCAGCUCAUUCAGGAGAACAAAAAGGAAGAAGAAGAAACAAACUUUAAGAAAAUCCAACAAAAAUUAGCUAUUUUGGAAACUAAAAGGGAGGGCAGUGGUUAACUAUGAACAGAUUACAGCAUUAUACAUAAGAUAAACAAAGGUGACUGGAAUUAAGAAAUGGAUUCUUUUGCAGUCAAAGCAACCUAUCUAUUGCAAUAUUAGUAAAAUUUCUUUAAAAUAAAAAGAAACACAAGGUAAACAUGGGAAAUCUAUUCCUACAAUUCUGUUGGUCAAUUAAAAAUAUCUUAUGUCAAAAGCAGCCGUGACAGCUACGUGCUCGCAAAGAAAGUCACUGAGAUAGGGUAAAACAUUGAAACUAUAUCAGCUUAUAGACAGAGCUCCCAUAAGUGCACCCUGCAAGUAACAUAACAUUCAUUUGUAGGGCAACCUAAUACAGAAAACAAGACAAGAGAGGACCAUGUGACAGAUUAGCUCCCAUGACCAGCACCUAGAGGGGACAAAUAAUGGAGAACCAACAUAAAGAAAACCUCCAUAUCAACAUCUUCCAAUUUUUCUCUAUCCAUUUUUGUUAAUUUUUAAAUUUUCAGAAAAAACAAAUAGUGAAAGCACAACAGAUGGGCAUUAUGUCAUCUGAUGCACUUCCACCUCCUCUGACAGAGUGAUCAAAUACAGGAGGUGGACGCUAAAGCACCAUCAUCAACUUCUUUCGACACCAACUCAUAAAAGAUCAAUCAGCCAGCUAAUAAGCACAUUACUUACCUGAUGCUCGGUACAUUCCUUGUCUGUCAAGUUUAGCAGAAGAAUUUCCAACAAAUUGUACAUCAGGCACCAAUGGAUAUGUCCAUCUUUGAAUAAUGUCCUUGCUGACAGUAUCAUAGCUUCGGAAAUUAUCAAUUCUAGCCGCAUAAUUUGAUUGAAUUUCAUGAGUGAAAAUCUUGUAACCCAUUAUCUGACAACAAAGAAAAGAUGUACAAAAGAUCAGAAAGAGAGAGGAUACAUGCGUCAAUCAACCAAAAGAGAUUUUAAAGACUUGGAAUUUGCAAAGGCUUGCUUGAUUGCAUAGCCAAGUAUACUAAUCACAAGGUUCCACUUUUAUGACCAAGAUAAACAAACCAAACAUUAGCACUAAAACCUAAGCACAGGACCAACUUAAGGAGGUAGACAAAAUAUCACUGAGCAUGCAUUGGCUACUUGAAAGAAUAAAAUCAAAGAUGCAACAUUUCUUGCACCACCAAAAGGUCAUCUAAGCUUUAUACCAUAUCAUGAGCAAAUACAUUGAGGUUGUAAGCAUGUUGGAAAAUGCAGAUCUUACAUUCCACAAAUUAUAAGAGGAACAGGAGGAUGAGAAGUAAAACAAUAAGCUAUCAAAUAUUGAGCAAGCACACUGCAGUUCUAAGACUGAUUGACUAUGAGGAUUUAUAUCUAAAGCAACUAUAUAAGAAGGAAGAGGAAAAGAAAUCCUCCCAUCAUACUUAGAUGCAAGAACAUCAUGCAUUAAAAAUAAUUAAUGAGGCAUAUUUCUGACACACAAGUAGUUCGGUGUAAAAGUAGAAGGUUCCACAUGUUGGUAACUUCUUGCAAUAAAUCCAGCCAAUGGAUAAAGCUCUAAGAAAGAUCAAAACAAUGCCAUGCAUUUCCAAAUUCAUUAGAGUCAAGAAGAGGAUAUAAAAGAUAGUGUAUAAAAAUAACAUUAGCUAAAAAGUACACAGAUGAGUGAAGUUCAUACUAUUCCAGGAUUCCUAUACUGGUCAAACUAGUCCAACAGUGGUGAAAAUGUUCUCAUUCAGUUUGUCCUGUCCAUAGCUUUUAGUUACUCAAGAAGAGAUAAGGCUUACUGAUAUACUUCUAAGCACACAAAAGAAGGUUUCCAUUAAACAUGGCAUGACAUGCCCGUCAACCAUAAAACAGCUCAAGCAAAUUUCAAGCACGAACUGCAGAGGACUUUUAUUGAUUUUGAAACUAUAGAGGACCUUUGUUCAAGGGUAUCUCAAAAUGGUGGCUCGUUGUUAUUGAAGAUAGUUAAUUUUUUCCAAUUGUAUGGAACCUUUACUAACCUCAUAUCCGCAAGAACAUCCAGCUCAUCAGGAUUUACUUGGUUAGUUUAAAAAAUUAAUUUCACAAAGCAUUUAUAACAUGAUGCAGGCAUCCCUACAUCAUGCAAUGCUGAAUUUUACUAUAUCUCAUGGGCAACCUGCUCAAGCAUGUAGUUUCAUGCUGCUGACUACUCAUACUAGCAUUGCUAAUAAUGAGAUUUCUACACCAUCUGCAAAAGCAAUAUCUGCUAUAUGUGCACAUUAGCUUUCCAAGUAUGCCAUUUCUACAUUCAUCUUCAGUCUAUAGUGGUCAGCAAAGGGCACCAAUAAUUCAUGCAUUUAUCUAUGACAGGAUACAUCACAAAUACAUCUCAGUCACUAAGACCUAAUUGAUUGUUACUAUACCUCCCACAAAAUUCUGAAAAGACAGAGGUCUUGUGGCCAGGAGGCUUCUACCAAAUGUCUCAUCAACAUCUGCCCUAUUUUAAGACCAUUGCUUGGCCCUCCCUAAGAGAGAAGAAUUAAGAUUCUUAAGCUAGCAUUUCUCAUUUCUCAUUUGCUUGGCCCUCUCUAUAUUAGCAUGGGAUUGUGGUGCACCAUUUUUGUCAUAUGUCUCAUUUAUCCAUCAAACUAUCGCCUAGUGUCCCUUUCAAACAUGGAGAAAAUAGCUUUUUGCUUAAGGCAAUGACGCUAGUCUACAGCAGAAGCUUCUUUGAUGCAAAAGGUGAAAUUUCUUUGCCUGUAGAUAACUCUCUCUCUCUCUUGCUUCCCAUGCUUGUGCAGUACCACCCAUACACCUAACACCUGAAACUAACUAAUUCACUACAUUUAUUUGAUUUCCGCUUAGCAUGUUUUCAAUCAAAUCAAUUAAUGCAGUCACCCAACUCUUUUAGAAGGCACAUUAUCUCAAACUAGACCUAGGCUUGAUUUAAAAAUAAAAAUACCCAUUAAUUACUCUACAGAGAGUCUUUAUGAGAAAAAGCUCCAGAAAUAAAUGGUCCAUAUGCACACCCAAGAGAAAAUUAGUAAGACAAUGUAGGAAAACAUAAAAUCAAGACCAGAAUAAGAGGUAUAAGUAAUUUUUCCAAUACACUGACUCAGAAGCUCUUUCCAGAGCUGAUUUCUAUUUACUUCAAUAACACAAAAAAUAAAGACAUUGCUACUACAAGCCUUCAAAGAAAACACCUGGACAUGCACUCACACCACUGUAUCACAAGAUGUACUUAGACCAGAGUACUCUGUAUACAUAGCUAAAAUGCAGUGAGAUCCACAAGACUGCAGUUACUCAUAGGCCUUAUCAAAUACUUUAUCUACCACUUCCCACUUUGAUUGGUGGAGUGCUUAGGCAGUAAAUUGCUCCUGUGCAUGUGCAGGUGUGUGUGUGUGAGAGAGAGAGAGAGAGAGAGAAAUAAGCCAAGAGAUGCAAGGCAUACAUCAUCAUCAAGCAAACCCUUCAAAAAAUGACGCCGUAGAUGUUGAUAGUCAAAAUUGUCAGCGAAUGUGCUCAGGACUUCCGGAGAGCAAAUGUCAAUGUAGCAAUCCUGCAAAAAACCAUAAAAUCCAAUUACACCGCCCCAAAAACAUAACUAUUUUCUGGGGGAAAAUGACGAAGAAAAAAAGACAGUAUCUUUGGGGGAAUCUCUAAUGAUUUGACAAGGCUGUCUAGCAAGUAAAUUACCAAAAGUUAUCAAUUUUGACACCAUAAACCAUACCCAGGAAACUAAAAGUACAGGUAUCCACAUGAACUGCCCCAGCAGUGAGUUUUUUAAGUUGAUAAGAAUAUGCUUAAGAUCAAGUCUAUCCAUGUCCACAUAUCAAAGCAGUAAGCAAACUAGUGAAAUCCAUUCAUGUUGUGGCAGAGAACAAAAGUAUUCACAGAAAAGAAGUAGCAGGCUGCACUUCCAUACAUCAGAGAUGACGAAAACUGACCCCCUCCUACCCCCCCCCCAACAAAAAAAUACCAAAAAAGAGGGGAAAAAGUUGAUGAUGAUGAUGAUGAUGAUGAAGAAACUCAGUAAGUUUGAUAAUGACCAUUAAUAAGCACUAGAUUCUCUUUCGGUUUCUAUUGCAAAGCCACGUUAAGUAGCAAAUCUCAAAACUAACUUUGUCGAAAGCACAAACAAUACCAAAGGCAAGUGAAAAAUAACUCAAAAUACAAACCUGCUUGUCAUUAUGUAGAUAAAUAGAUGGAUGAUCAGAAAGCAAUGUCUUAUCAAGUGACACUGUUCCUUUAUCAGACUUAUCCUCGUAAUAAAGGAGUUGCUUUGUAUCAGGAUCAAUUGCCAUAAACAACUCAUCAGUUCCAAGACGAGAUUGACGUGUUGUUGGAGAUGUUUUUGACUGUGUUAUGACCAUGGUCAUAAUGGCAUUGCUAUCCUUUCUCCUCCUCUCCUUAUGUUCUCCAAGUGCCUCUGCAAGAGACAUAUUACUCACUGUAUCUCCACUAACAAGGACAAAAUCUCCACGUAUCUACAGAGGUAAAAGUAAAGCCAAUCAUCACAUGAUAAACAACAGGCGGAAAGCAGUAGCAAAACUUAGAUAAAUAAAUAAAUAAGAAGAUCCAAAUACAUGAACUAUCCUAGUCACAGAGAACAAUGGUAUAUUGCACCUAAAUUAGCUUACUGAUACAUUACAUAUAACAUCGAUCAAGUCAAGUUCCUAAACUGCUGGCAGCAUUUAAUGACUGAAACAAAUAUGUACUUUCCUUUCCUCCUUUCCUGGAGAGACUUUGCAAAGUACAGACCAUUGGAAGAACAGGACUGACAAGGAAAAACAGAGAGCAAAAGUUCAAUUUUGUAUUUGAAAUGAACUACUGAUGGAGGGUGCAUCAAGUGGGUAUAAUUUUCUUUUCAACAUAUUUUUCACAUAACAUCUUUUUCAAGGCUACUUUGACAAAAAGUAUAGUAAUCCCUACAAACUUCCAAGAAAAUGACUUUCCACCCAUCCAAGUCAGACAGAAUAAAUGUAGAAGUCCAGACUGUAAAUUGUCCUCUAAUCAGAAAGUGAGCAUAAAAGAACAAAAAGCAAUGUCAAAACUCCACAAGAGACUCUCAAGUCCUUAUUCAAGUCGCUGCAAAUAUUGCCAGUUGACUGUUCAUCCUGCUGAGAUUGCAAACAACACAUUGAAAUAUAAUUCCGUUUUACUUGGAAGGAGAGAACAGAAGCUUUUCCAUAGAUAAUCACACGUAACAUAAAAUCAACAAUAGUGAACAAUCAAUGACAACUCAGAAUGCUAUCUUGAUUCUUCAGCUAAAUCUAUCAAAUAAAAUUAAACCCAAAAUGGAUCUUUUUCUCACCCUAAGGUUCAUUUUCCCUUUGAUUUUAAGCAUUGGCAGACAAUAACAAUUAUAGUUUCACACUGAUUUGCUGACUGACAUAAUUUCCGACAUCCUAAGGUUUCAUUAAUAGAAAAAACAGUCAUUGAUAAUGUAACAAAGCUACAACAACACAAAACAUCCAAUUAAAUCAACAUACCACAUUUUGCUCAUAUAUCAAACGCAAAGCAUCACCAGCACCAACCGCAUUGUUCGAUUCGAUAGCCGUCACAGAAAAGUUCGGUUGUGCAAACCACUGCGAAUUUUCCAAAUGCUCAGCCACUUGUUUCGCAUGAGCACAACAAAACACAAAAACCUCUUCAACUCCAGCUGAUUCUAGCCACGCUAAAGUAUAAUCAAUCAUCGGAACAUUCACUAGCGGCAGCAAAACCUUCAAUUUCAUAAAUAUUCAGAUUAAAAACAACUUAUACGCAGCAAUUUAACAGGAAAUUUUCACUUGAAUUUCAAGAUGCAUAGAGAAUUGAAUUACCUUCGGGCGCUCAAGGGUUAUCGGGCGGAACUUAGUGGCGAAGCUAUCAGCUAAGAGGAUGGCUUGCAAGGGAACACGUGCUAAUUCCUCGACAGAAACUUCCGUUGCAGCGGCGGUUCCUCCGCCACCGCCUCCUCGGUUUCUGCCACUCUUUUUCGCCACCAUUUUUUCCCAGCUUGGCUAAGUGGUUUCUGAAAUUUUAAUGAAGUAAUUAGACGCAAAAUUGUUCAAAUGAGGAUUUGAAAAACGAGAAUUCCUGGUGUUGCUGGGUGGGUAAAAACCCUCCUGGGACAUAGAACAUAUUCCUUCUUGAAGUCCAUAAACCCCAUUGGUUUUUCCGGGGAAAUGGCUGAUUUAGUCCUCCAACUCUUCUAGUAAACAGAUUUAGUCCCUAUACUUUCUUUAUCUCGCUAAUUAAUCGUUUGACUUCCAUUUUUAUGUCAAUUUAGUCCCCAUUGAAUUGUAUGUCAAUGUGUGGACUUCUCCAAACAUGUGAAGCAUUUUCACACUCAUAUAAAAUGUGAUUUUAGAAGUAUCCCCAUAUUGGUUAAGUACCAUACUGCCCCAAAAUGUAUCAUGUUGUUUCAAGUAUUGCGAACUCAAUUUAGCUAACAGAGUUUAGUUUAUCAUCUUUAAUUUAACAAUUUAUAAGCCACUUCUGAGCAAGUUGAGUAAUUAGAUCUUGGGAAAAAUAUACUUUUCAUCCUCGAAAUUUGGCAUAACGACCAAUUUCGUCCUCAAAGUGUUGAUGCAAACACAUUUUAUCCUCAAACUUGCUCAAUUUCGAUCGAUUGAGGACAAUUGACAGAAAUCAAACCAAAUUGGAUGGAGAGUUGCUGGCUUCGUUAGCCAUCGUAUUUUGGCCAGCUAAAUGGUGAAUAAAUCCCUUAUUAUUUCUCUUCCUUCUUCACUUAUGGUCUCUCUUCUUAGCCACUCCCAUAGCAUCUUCAAUCCUCAAUUUGCCGGCAGGAAGAGUGGCAAUAAAGGACGCCGAGGAGAAAUUAGUCUCAAGCAAUGAGUAGCCCAAAUUUUGGGGGUUAAUGCCACUUUGUCCCCCCAAACUUUGGACGAUUACCCACUUCAGUCCCUAAACUUAAAAAUGGGACACUUAAGUACCUAAACUUAUAAAUACCUCCCACUUAAGGAAAAUUGUUAACAAAUCCUGAAUGCCGUUGGUAGUCGAAGUGUCCCAUUUUAUAAGGGUUUAGGGAUUUAAGUGUUCCAUUUUAUAAGUUUAGGGACUUAAGUGGGAGGUAUUUAUAAGUUCAGGGAUUUAAGUGUCCAAUUUUGAAGUUUAGGGACUGAAGUGGAUAAUCGUCCAAAGUUUGGGGGGACAAAGUGGAAUUAACCCAAAUUUUGGUGAUUGGAUGUUAUCAGCAGGCUUCUGUGAUUAUGGGCUGCAAACAAAAUUAACAACUUGUUGGCGCGAUGAAAAUCAAGGGAGAAGGUUCAUUGGUUGUCCUCUAUGGUCAGUAAGAAAUAUUUGUGAUAUGAACAUACUAGUGCUUGUUUGAUUUUUUGCUGUCUAAUUCGGGAAAAAUGUUCUUGUUUUGUUUCUUUAGGGAUCGAAUAUAUAUGCAAGUAUUUUAAGUGGGUUGAUGAGCCAAUGUGUGCAAGAGGAAGAGUUCUUAUACCUAGUUUACUGAAAAAGGUGAACUAGAUUAAAGAAAAUGUUGAAAAAAAUGCGCAAGAGGGAGAAAAUUUGGAUUAGCAUAAUUGUGAUGUUGGUCGUCCUGCUGGUUCUGAGUUGGAGGAGCAAAAGCGAAGGAAAUCCAAAGUCCUGCAGAGUUUGGAGUGAUAUUUUGUUGUUUUUGCAGAAGAAGAUCAGAAAGUGACAUUGGUUUACUGAGAAAUUGAAACUGUAUUUUGUAAAAAUUGAUGUGAAUUGCAGUUGUAAUUGACCUUUGUUUUUUGGUAACAAAAUGUGUGAAUCAAAUCGAGAACUUGAUGUAGAUGGAACCGAGUAGGAAUCGAAAUGUAUGAGAAUCCCAUAUUGUGCAAGGAAAUGGAACAUGUUCUGCUAGCAAGAAACUUGUUUCAAUUCUGAAAUUGUAAUUGGUUUCCCCAAAUUUGUUGUCCCUGUUCUACAUUAAAGGGUACUUCUUUUUUUUUUUUGUCAGCAAUGAUACAUUUGUAUAACCUACUCUAUCCUAAUCUAGAAGGGAGGGGGAGCAUAAGGAGGCUGUGGUAAGAGGCUAGUGGGUAUAUAUAGACCCAACUAGACCAAGGGAGUACUCUGACACAACGUUUAAAUUUUUUUCGCUACUCAAGGAGGAACUUAAGUCCCUCCCUGGUAGCCACCGAGCCAUUGGCCCAGUGGUUUACAUUAAAGGGUACUUUUUUUUUUUUUUUUUCUGACGGAGUGGGUGUCCGGGUCAAGUCCUUAAAGGCGGCCCGACUAAUCCCACUUCGGCCCGGCCCAGCGCCCCAACCAGACCUAGCACGUUAGAUGCACAGAGAAACUGAUGUUGCUGCGGAGAUUCGACCCCAGGACAUGAGAACCCGAGAGAAGAGGCCCAACCACCAGCCCAUUCACGUGGGGGCCAUUAAAGGGUACUUGACUGUGUCUUUAUUUUAUACCAAGUACAAUUGCAUGAAUUAAUGUACAAAAGAAACUGUAGAAGAGAAGAAAACAAUAUAAGACAGUGAAAUGUAUGAAAACAUGAAAAGUGAUUGUACUGAAUUCAUAGUUUCAUAUGGUCAUGUACUUUCCGAUUGAGUAAGAAAAUGUCAGAAAAAAAAAUGUACUUUCCGAUUGAGUUGUGGACCAUAGACACACGUGUUUCUCACUUAGCUUGGGACCAUAAACAAAAAAAAAAAAAAAACAAAAUGUUACUACUAUUAGUUAAAAUAAAAUAGGUCUUAGAUACAAGAGUUAUCUUCGCAUCUUUUAUCAGGUCAAAAGAGCCAAAAGUUAAUGCACAAUUGUAGCAAAGCCAACAAUUGUGACAGCAGCUUCUCUUUUCCCUUUGACGUAGAUGACCCAGCAACAACAUGUAUGUGAACGAACAUCUUUAAUGUUGAAGGAAUUUGAACCUUAUCUUUAGUUAUAGGAAGUGGGUUGUUGCUAUAUUUCACUUCAGACCUUAACAAUCAAAAAUAAAAAAAAAAAGGUUAAAACUACAGCAUUUCAGCAACACAUAUUCAACUAGGCAUACACUAGUCAUGUUAGUUAGUGCUUGUUCACCUUGCUGUCUCUGCUACAAAAACUAGGAACAAACAUUGAACUUCAGAAUAAAAGAAAAUGUAAAAACGAAUUGUAAAUGCAAAUUCCAAUUUUGUAUUUCUACCCUUUUCCCCGAAGACUUAGUAGCAGGCCUCUUGGUCUUCCUUCUCACCUGUAACUUAAAAGGAAAGCAAUAGUUACCUUCAUAUUUAUUUAACCAAUUAAUAUAGAUAAAUAUAGCCAGUAAUAAAACAAACUUACUGGUAGUUUGGAUGCCUUAUCAAUGCUAGUCUUGUCAGAUACAUGUGGGGUAGGUAAAAUCUCCAAAUCUUCAGUUAAUCCCCAUCUUUGUUGAACAAAUCAGUGUCCUUUUGGACCACAUUUAUAGGCUAAGAAUCAACCACUCCAUUAUUAAAAAAAAAAAAAAAUUCGAUCACUGCCCCGCGUGAAUGAUCCAGCGGUAGCUCCUCCAACCGGUGACCCCUAAGGUCCCAGGUUCGUGUCUCUGCUCUACUGGAUUCCUCCGCGCACAUAUCGUGCUUGGGCCGAGCUGGAGCGCUGGGCCCGGGCCGCAGGGAUUAGUCGGGCCCCGUAAGAAAUGACCCGGACACCCCUGUGUCGUCAAAAAAAAAAAAAAAAAUCAACCACGAUAUAUAUAUAUAUGAUGAUAUAUAUAUGGUUAAAACUUAGAUUGAUUAUCAUUUAAACCAUUUUGUUUGAUGUUUAAAUUUUAAAUUUUUGUAAAUUUUAUAUGUUUAGGAGGAUGAUAGAGUGUCAUAGGCUUUUUUUUAAGUGUUAAUAAGCUUUUUUGCCUUAAGUGAAUUUAGAAUUUGACUCUUAACAUCACUCCCAAAAUUCAAAAUAGGGGCAAAUGCAUAAAAAUACAGCAUCAAAAUCUAGUCCCGCCAUAAACGGGUUUCCAACUGUUUAAAAUUUGGGGAUAAUUUCAGAACUCUCUCUUGAGAUUUCUGACUAUUUCAUUGGAUUCCCUUCUAAGUUAUGAAAAUUACACUAACCUUCCUUGAGGUUAAUUAUCUUGUAACAAUUAGACCCAAUCAAUAAUUCAUAAAGUGAUAUUAGGAGAGAGAAAAUAAUAUAAUUUCAUCAUUGCCCCUAAUCUACUAUAUUAUUUAAUUAAUUUAAUACCAACCCACAUAUUAAAGAAAAACACUAAAAUUUGUUGUUUAUCAUUAGGGAUCAAAUCACAUAUAACAUCAAAAAUAUAUAUCAUUUUAUUUUUUUUCACUUAAUACAAGAUCCAAAUUAUUCUUUUCAAUUACAUACCCAUUGUUAAAUAUGAUUAACAACAAAUGAUCAAAAAAUUUGCAACCAAAAUAUCAUAGAGAAAAAACUUUAGCAUCAUAAAUACUCUUAUCAGCAUAUUAAGGUUAGCUGCUGAAAUUUUUAUGGUAUUAAAUUUCGUUCUUUGUAAUAUUUUGAUUACGAAUUUUUUUAAAUUAUUUGUUUGUAAUCAUGCUUGAUAAUGGGUUCGAAAUUGAAAAGAGUAAUUUGAAUAUUAUAUUAAGUGAAAUAUAUAGAAUGAUAUACUAUUUUUAAUGCCAUAUGAGAUUUAAUUUCUAACGAUAAAUAGCAAAUUUUAGUAUUUUUUUAAUGUUUUGGUUGAAUAGCCUCCGUUUGGAUUAACUAUUUUUCGGGAUGGUUUUUGAAAAAAUUUACGGUAACUGUGUAUAUGAAAAACUUUUACUAUAAAUAUGUUUUUUGAAAUAUUUGAUAUACUGUAUGAAUAAGAUGUUUUUUGAAUUAUUUUUAUUUGUGUAUUACUGUAGCAUUGUAUUUGAAAAACUUGUUUUUUGAAAAUUGGCCAAUCCAAACGAAUAACAAUGAAUUUAGUAGAUGAAAAGUAAUGAUAUACUAUUUUUAAUAAUAUAUGUGAUUUAAUCUCUAAUGAUAAAUAAUAAAUUCUAGUAUUUUCUUUAAUUUUUAGGCUUGUAUUAAAUAAUUUAGUAGAUGAGGGGGCAACGUAAAAUCAUAUUAUCUCCUCUCUCCUUAUAUAACUUUUUAAUUGUUUGUUGGAUCUAGAUGUUACAAGAUAAUAAAACUAAAAAGAGGUUAGUGUAAUUUUCAAAAUUUAGAGGGAGACCAGUGAAAUUAUCCCUAAAAUUUGAGUUUGAUCAUAUCAUUGCCGAAGUACAUAAUACGGACAAAGUGUCACGGCACCUGAGUGCAAUCCCUCUGUGAAAGGGUCUCCAAAGGUCCCAACGAGUCCCACGUGUGAAUAUAAAUGAACGAGUUCGGAGUAUAUAAUCAAUCUUCUCUUCCUUCUCCUCCGACUUCGUUCCUCCGCUUUAUACGUCCCCUUUUUCACCUUUCUUUGCUUCAGCGUGCGCAUAACUACCAAAAAAACCUACGCAUUCAACCUAUCCAUACAUUAUUGCCUGGUAGUAGAUACUACUAUAAAAGUAAGAAAGAGAAAGGUGUCACGGUAUUCUUGGACUAUUCUGCUCCUUUCCAGAAAUUUCAACGUCUUCCCACUUCUUCCCGAGUUAGGUUCACCUUUUUGCUCGCUUUUAAGCUGAAUACUCGUUGGAUAAUCUUGAUUACCCUUCCCUUUACUGUUGGUCCAGAAUCCAAGAAAAAUUGCGUUUUUCUUCCAUUUGUGUUUCUCAUGGAGAGUCCAGAGACGUGAAAAAUUGCGUGUAACCAUCUGAUUAAAUCAGCAUUUCGUUUGAUUUUCCCGGGAUUUUACUGAGGAGACGAAUAUAACAGAGAAAAUGGGUCUGAUGGAAUUAACUACAACGUCUGAUCGCGCGUCAAUUGUGUCCAUAAAUCUGUUUGUGGCAUUGCUUUGUGGCUGUAUUGUAAUUGGCCAUUUGCUUGAGGACAACCGAUGGAUGAAUGAAUCUAUUACAGCCCUGAUUAUUGUAAGAAAUUUACUCUGAUUAGUCCUUCUAUCUAUUGAUUGGUUUAGUGGCUUGUGAAGUUUAAUGUUGUACUAGCAAAAGUACGAUUCUGAUGUCAUAUCUGAUAAUGGAUGUUGAUAUAUGUUGAUCAUGGAUGAUGGAUUAAGAGUUAUGUAACUUACUCGUGUUCAAUGUUUGCGUUGUCUUUUUGAGAUAAGACUGUUAAAUAUACUACAUUUUGGUUGGCAGGGUUUGUGUACUGGAGUUGUUAUUUUGCUGUUAAGUAAGGGAAGAAGCUCGCAUCUGCUUGUGUUUAGCGAAGAUCUUUUCUUUAUAUAUCUGCUUCCGCCUAUCAUAUUUAAUGCUGGGUAGGUCCAAGUCUUUCAUUUUGUUCCUAUCAGUGAUUAUUUUUCGUUAAUUUCUGUUCACUUGUUGGCAUUUAAUAUAUUUACUCAUGUGUAUACUCAUGAAGUUAUUCUUCUCUUGAUGGUGGAGCUUAAUGAGUAUACACGUGAGUAAAAUAUGUUCACUUGUUAGCAUUUAAUAUAUUUACUCAUGAGUGUACACAUGUGUAUACUUGUUCACCUGUCCAUUGAUCUUUUAUCUAUCUAAUCUAAUCUAAUCUAACUGUAAAAUAAAUAAGAGCCUCCUUUUGGUGUUUAUGGUUUGGUCAUUUUAUGUUAUGCCAAACGUGCCGCUUAUAGUUAGUGUUCAAACUGUUCAGUUUGCCGCCUUUUCUCCAGCAUGAUCUUAAGUACAAUAACAUCCUUAGAUGAAAAAAGGCAAUAACUAUAGACUUCUGAAAUAAGCGCAUGCAUAAGGUGUACCAAAAACGCUAUUAUGACAUAAAUCUAUUGUUAAAUAAGGCAAUCAUUCAAGUAACUAGAGGAUGAAAUUUCAAUCCUUGUACAACAGUUUUGAAGAAAUGCAGACAUUUGCUGUGAAGAGCUAAGAUAUCAGGACCACCAGCUAUUUUGGUUGUAUAGAAAUUUAGAAUAUUAGUCCAAAUUUCUAAAGUUGAUAAUGGCUCAAUUAAAAGGAUAAAUAAAGCUAACUAUAAUUCAUGAUGAAAACCAAUUGUUACCAUAUAUAAAGAGGUGUUUGUUUUGUGAUGAAUUGAAGUGCAUAAAAAUCUGUUCUUUGACAUUGAGAAGGCUGUGAUAAUGUGGGCAUUUUUACAUAACCUGUGAUCAUGCGGGCAUUUUACAUACUUAUUCUUUUUUGUUGCUGUUAGAUCUCUUUGUCAAACUUAGCAUGGAGGGACUUUUUCUAAUAACAUAAUGCUUUUGGCACUGACUAGGUGUGCUUUAGUCAGAGAGAAUAUAAAUUAUUGCAAUUUUUCUUUUCUUUUCCCCUUUCUUUUGAAGAAAUAACUACAGUUGAAAGUUGAAAAACAUGUGGGUUUCACAAGUACUUUUGGAAGGGCAGCAUGACUAACAUACAGUUACACUAAUGGAGUUACACAAAAGUGGGUGUUUGGUGGCCUACAAGAGAGGAAGAUUUGAUUUUUGUGGAGCUUAUGCUGGCGAAGCGUAACUUUUGGGAUAAAAUGGUCUAAUAAUGUAUAUACAUGUUCUCAUUGAACAAGUUAGUAGCAAACUUGUCAAUUACGGGGGGACAGACCUUCCAUCAUGGCAAUGAGUAAAUUGCAGUCUCUUCUGCAGUGGGUAAAAUGGUACUUUAAGGUCUGGCUCUUUGAUAGUGGAGAUAGGUUGCCAAAAUUCAUGGCUUGAGCACUUUGUGACAUAGUAUUUCAAUUGCACAAGAAUCUUUUUCUGGAUAUAUGCAUUUUUAGUAUACAUUUCCUUUCAUCUUUAUUAUCUAUCAGGAACCAUGAACGAAGUUUUAUGCAGCUGCACAACAGUCUUCAUUAUAGUGGAAUCUUUACUGACAAAAGACACGAAGAUUGACAGGCAAACAACUUUCAUCUCUAGAGAACUAGAGAAACAGUUGAGCAGUUGGAGACUAAUUUUACGAAAAAAAGUACUCGGUAAAAAGAGGAAAAAAAUGUUAGAAGAAUUAUACCUCGUAUGGGUGGAUGAUAUAGAGUGGAAUAUGCAUGUGGACAAUAAAAACUAGGACUGCUGUUUACAGUGACUGAUGCUCCAACAUUAACCUUGACUCUUGAUGCUCUAACAUUACCCUCUAGGAGCAUUAGAUAUAAAGCAUAUUGUACAACUGAUCUCCUGCAUGUGAUUAUGGGCAUUUAGCUUGAUCCUUAGCCAUGGCUCAUGUAUUUAAAGGUAUGAACUAAGAAUGAAUGUAACACACACAAGAAAUAAGUGAAAAUCCAAGUGAUCAAUAUGAAGACAUGGAAAGGAAAGGAAUGGCAAAUAUGAGAAAGUAUAGAAGCAAGAAAAGUAAGGAAGCUUAACAUUUCUAAAUAAUAUGUAUAUUUCUCUAUCACAUUUAUAGUGGUAAGAAUUGAACAGAGGGUUAUAAAAACUGAUACUACCUAUUUCAACGUAGUUAGGUGCAUCACAUUUGUUUCUGUUACUGGGAUAAGAACCCUAUUGGUUAACAGUUCAAGCAUUGAACAGUAGGGAUAUGUAUCAAUGAGUGAAAUGAAACCGGUAGGGUCAUUGACAGUUGCCUUGUAGUGCUGCUGCAGUUAGCGGCGGUAUCUAGUUAGCUUCUACCUAGAAUAGAAAUCUGAAAAGCGCCAACUGUAGAUAUUAAAUAUAUUGCUAUUAAAGAAGUUGGAAACCGCCAUUUACUUACAUAAUUGCCGAGUGCUAAUUUCUUACUCGUUAAAGAAAUUCUUUCUUAUAUCGAGCUUAAAAUGUCAUGCUCUAAGGAUCUUGUUAUUCCUCUAAUCUUGCAUCACUAUUUGUCCAGUUAGUCAUAGGGAUCCUGCACAGUUUGUUCUGUAUUUGAAAAUCAGGGUUUGUAGUUGCUGUUCUGUUUAGCACACGAAAAUGGCAUUCAACUCUCUCUCUCUCUCUCUCUACAGACACACACAUAUUUGAUUUCCAUGUGGUCCUUGGAUUUUGAUCAUUUAGCUGCUGCAUCGAUCCAUGUAUGUCUUCAUAAGGAGUGGAUAGAUGAAAUUAAAGAUUUCUUACAUUUAGUAUCAAAGUCCACCUUUGCCGCACAACACGGGGUUUAUUAAAUUGUUGUGGUUUACUGACACGUAGUAUGUCAUGAUCUAGCACAAUCCUACUUUAUUGCACGGGUAGGAAAGUUAUUCUCUUUGAGAUCAUUUUGGGCUCACGCUUAUAGCAAUUACUUUGCUUUAUCUUUUGUUUGAUUGGUGUUUUAAUGACGUGAAAUGUAGUCUUUGCAUUUUGCAGAAAUUUCUUUUGUUGUGGCUUUUAAGAAUUAUUUGUGUUAACCCUUUUACUAUGACAGGUUUCAGGUGAAAAAGAAGCAAUUUUUUCGUAAUUUCAUCACUAUUAUGCUUUUUGGAGCUGUGGGUACCCUAGUUUCAUGGGCAAUAAUAUCAUUAGGUAUGUGCGAUGCGUUGACAUACAUUGUAUUUAUUCCCUAAAUGCUCCACUACUGUGAAUUUUAUAUAUGACUCAGUAAGAUAGAGUUUUUUGGGGCUGGCAACUUUCCUCAGUAGUUGCCAAAAAAAAAAAAAAUCCUCAGAACUUUGAAGAAAAAGGAAACUAAUGUAUUCCAAAAGAUGUAUUUUCAGUAGCCAUUCUCUUUUUCUGUUACUUGUUUUGCUAUGCAUGCAUUUCAGUUAGUUAAGUUUUGUAUACUUUACUGUUUUGGAGACUUUACUUGUGAUGAGCAAAUUACUCGGGUAACCACGAAACUUUUCAAAUAGUCGAGUUUUGGCCGCUCAACUAUGAAUAGUGUGUUUUUACCCACUGAACUAUCAAAAGUGUAAAUUUUGACCCAUUCCUUCUUAUUUCACCAUUAACAUUGCCAAAUCUAACUAUAAUUAAUAUGCCUCCUGAAUCGUGUGGACCUCUAAAUCUAAUAGAGUUAAUGGCGGAAUUAGACAGAAUGGCCCAAAUAAUUCAGUGGGUAAAAACAUACUAUUAAUAACUGAGUGACCAUAUCUUGACUAUUCAAAAAGUUCAAUGACCACCCUGGUAAUUUGCUCUACUUAUAAUACUUGGUAGAACUUUUGUGUAAGUUUGAUAUCUCAAUGAUUCUCACCUAACUUUCUUGUUCCAACAAUACUGAUUCCUCUUCAUCCCUAUUUCGCUGCCUUUUGUUUAAGACCUUUGUUUGUAUGCAUGGGAACCGAAAUGUCUCAGAUAAUGCUUUUCCAAAAUUUUGUGGUGCAAAAAAUUUGUAUAGAUGUAACCCUACUGCUUUAGAUUAUGGCAAAUGGCAGAGAGAGCAAAAGAUGUUUAAUGCAAAAACUGAAUAGAUAUGGUUUCAUGGUUAACCACUUUUGGGAUACACAACUAUUUAAGUUUCUUUGAUUUGAUACUGGUUCAUAUUCAUGAUUCCCUUGCAUUUGACCUAGGUGCCACUCAAAUCUUUAGUAGAAUGGAUUUUGGCGAUUUUGAUAUUGGGGAUUAUCUAGGUAUCAACUUGUACUUCAGUCCAACUUCUCUCUCUCUCUCUCUCUCUCUCCUCCCUCGUCCUUGGCCUCUGACAUUCUCUUUUGCUGUCUGUUCAUCAUUUUAGCCAUUGGUGCAAUAUUUGCCGCAACAGAUUCUGUAUGCACUUUGCAGGUAAAAGAAAACAGUGAAGGUAGUCAAUACUUCCCUUUUGUCACACAUAGUAUGCUCUGAAACUAUAACUGUUGAUGUUGCAGGUGCUACAUCAGGAUGAGACACCCCUGCUUUACAGUCUGGUUUUUGGAGAAGGUGUUGUGAAUGAUGCUACAUCAGUGGUGCUUUUCAAUGCCAUUCAGGGCUUUGAUAUGUCAAAAAUUGAUCCUAAAAUCGCCCUGCAUUUUAUUGGAAAUUUUCUUUAUCUAUUCUUUACUAGUACCGUCCUGGGGGUAAUCGUAAGUCAGUCUCAAUAUCAAUCUCUCUCUGUUUCUCUCUUUCUUCUCUUUUGUGUGUGUCAAAGUACAGAUGGGUUAUUCAAGAAAACAGUUCCUUUACUUUCUUUUCUGCAGGCUGGAUUGCUUUGUGCUUACAUCAUCAAGAAACUGUAUUUUGGCAGGUAUAGGACAAAAAAGUCUUUUGCUGCUGCUGUACUGUUCUCUAUAGAUAUUUGUUUUCUGGUUGUCUUUGACUUGUAAGCUGUAACUGCUGAAAGAGAGGCUUCUGAUGCUAUCAAUACUAUCUUCUCUUGUGGGUGCCUGACAGUAAAAAUUCCACCAACGUCCACUAUGUCUCUAUUAAAACUGGACACUGAUCUUUUCUCGGCACUCCAGCAAAUUUUUUGAAAGAACAUGAUUGGAAAUUGUAAACUGUUUUUCCCCCCUUUUCAGCUCCAUAAUUUGACUGCAUACAGGAUAUCACAUCACUAUGCAGAUUCAGUAGAGGCUUUUUUUUUUUCCCAAGGGUCUGUGUUGCAAUUGUCAAUUUCUUAAAAAUUAUGAAGCUGGAAAAUCAGGACCUUUUUAAAUCAGCACCCCAAGCCCAAGUGCGUGUGGAUUUUGUUUUAGUUUAGAUGGAUCCAUCAUGAAAAAUAUUAGUUAAGUACAUGUUUCAAAAUAAAAUUGGAAAGCUUAAUUCUGUGUUUGAUGCAGUUCAUAGAAGUCUUUUUUGGUUGUGUUAUUUGUCUCUGUUGCUUGUUUGUCCAUUUAUUUGGUAGAUAUCUAAUUUGGUAUGUGAAGACUUGGAAUACUUCAUAGCAAAGGUGCUUGAUGUCAGUGAAUAUACCAUGCAUGAAAUUUACCAGGGAUGCAAAUAGUCAUAGGUUUGACUGGAUAUAUUAGCAUCUAUUUUUUCAAGAGUUGGGGAUUAUAUUUGGUUGUUGAUUUUCCUUGGUUUCUGUUUCUGCAAGUUAUUAUCUAUGCCAGACUAAAAUGAAUGCUAUCAUUCAGGCAUUCAACUGAUCGUGAGGUGGCUCUAAUGAUGCUUAUGGCUUAUCUAUCCUAUAUGCUGGCAGAAGUAAGAUACUAUUUGACUUUUCGUGCUGAGGAGCCUUGAUUUCGUUGCUUUCAGAUUCUUUUUGUUUAAGCAUUUGUUGUUGCUGCUCAUUUAACUUAACAUAGAUCUCCUUUAUCUACUAUUCAGUUAUUAGAUUUGAGUGGCAUUCUUACGGUGUUCUUUUGUGGGAUAGUUAUGUCCCACUACACCUGGCACAAUGUGACUGAGAGUUCAAGAAUUACUACCAAGUAUGCUCUCCUGGAAUGUCUUUUGCUUUUCUUUACAAUUGAAUUUGCAGAUAACUUCAUAUCAUUAGAAUAAGCUAUCAACCAAUAUUUUAAACUCUCUAUACAUUGAACUGACAGGCAUACCUUUGCAACUUUGUCAUUUGUUGCCGAGAUUUUCAUCUUUCUUUAUGUCGGUAUGGAUGCAUUGGACAUUGAAAAGUGGCGUUUUAUCAGUGAUAGGUAUGCCUUUAUUAGAUAUUUAGCAGUGAGGCCUAUCCUUCUUUCGCUAUCUUGAAAUAGAAUCUAGUUCUCAAAUGCAGAGAAAUAUUUUCUAGUACUCUUCAUUUUCUAAUUUGCUCCUAGUUUCUUGCAUAUGAAAUUGUUACGUAAUAACUUGCUAAUGAUGAUUUCUUCUCCUUUGCAGUCCUGGAACCUCAGUUGCCGUGAGUUCAAUUUUGCUAGGCCUGGUUUUACUUGGUAGGGCAGCUUUUGUGUUUCCCCUAUCCUUUUUAUCUAACUUGGCCAAGAAAUCUACAAGUGAUAAGAUUUCCUUCAAACAGCAAGUAAGCAUUUCCUGAAACUUGAUGUUAGGCAUUCUACUAGUUAUUUGAUCGUGGAGUUGACAAGUUCUGGUGCUUUAGGUCAUUAUAUGUUGGGCUGGCUUGAUCAGAGGUGCUGUGUCUAUGGCACUUGCAUAUAAUAAGGUAAGUAUGUGGAUAUAUUGGGCUGGCUUGAUGCAUGUUAUGCGCCAGCAGAAUUAUAUCUAUUGUGUGUGAGUAGAUGUGAAUUGGAAAUUGAAGAAGAGACAUCUGCACCCAUUUGUCACUCGUCUUUUUGUGGAUCUGAGUGGGUGUUUUUCUUAGUUCCUUUAUUGUCCUUGAACUGAAAAAUUUCUGCAUCUGUGUAGUUCACUAGCUUGGGACAUACUAACUUGCGAGGAAAUGCAAUAAUGAUCACUAGCACCAUUACUCUUGUUCUUUUUAGCACAGUGGUAAAUAACCCGUCUCCCUGCCUUCAUGUAUUCUCAUUUCUCCAUUGCGUUACCUCAUCUGUCUCAUCAGUUACCCACUGACCAGAAAUUUAAAAUCUAUUUAUUUGUUUUGACUUAGGUAUUCGGCUUAUUGACAAAGCCGCUUAUAAGGUUGUUGCUGCCACCUUUGAAACAUGCCACCAGUGCUGCAUCUUCUGACCCUAAUUCUCCCAAUUCACUCGGUGUUCCGCUAAUCAGCCAUUCACAGGACUCUGAUAGUUUUUUAAGCGGGCAUGACAUCCCACGGCCAUCUAGUAUACGCAUGCUUUUGACAACACCAACCCACACCGUGCAUCGUCUCUGGCGUAAGUUUGAUGACAGAUUUAUGCGUCCUGUGUUUGGUGGGCGGGGGUUUGUUCCUGUUGUUCCUGGUUCCCCUACAGAAGGUAAUCUAAGUUAAAUGUCUGCACUGAAUGAAUUAAAAGCAAAAGAUAGAGACUCACGGGAGAUGUGCUCUCAACAAGGGUUGGACUUGCUGACCGAGUAUUUUGCUGUAAUUUCUAUGUAAAUUACCUUGCCAAGCUAACAUCAAGUUUUGUAUAGAUCAAAAACUACCAUGUAUACAUACUUGUGUCCAUAUAUGCAUAGGUAGAUGGUUGAAUAAGAGUUGUCAUAUUGGCAGUUGCCCAGCAUUCAACCAAGAAAAUCCUGCUAGAUUGCGGGGAUGUGAACUGUCAUAAAUUAGAAGACAAGUGGAGAAACUUUCCUCUUUCUUUUGACUUGAAAAGAGCAGUUUAACUUUCGUGUUCUUAACUGUUACAUUCCCUCCAAAGAAAAAGAGUUUCGUACCGUAUCAUGCUGUAUUCCAAAAUAGUUGCAGUUUUACAACUUCAAGCAAUGGAUGAGACAAUUGAACCGGUAACUUUUUUUCUCAUAUCUGUUCUACAUUUAGCGGUGCCUCCACACAGAAACUCCUACAUAUUUAUAAGUGCAGGAGAGAGAGAGAGAGAGAGAGAUUGGCGGGGGGGGGGGGGGAUGUAGCUCGUCCGAGGUGGAAGAUUUGUCGUUAUAACAUCUUAAUUGUUUGGAUAGUGUUCAUUUGCAUGGUUUUUUUAUUUACUUGCAUUAUCAACACUUUUUUUCAAUCAUUUUUUUAUCUCAAAUACGUCACAUCAAAAAAGUAUUACAGUAUUUUUUUUUUAAAAAAUAUUAUCCCAAAUAAUCUCAGUUACUGAGAGUUGCUGCAAUUAUGCCUAGAUUUUGUGCUCAAAUCUGUUAGAACCAUUUGGAAGGCUAUUCAAUGGAGUUCUCCAUUAGGCAAAUGGAUUUCAGGCUUGCAGCUGCACAUAUGCGCACAAAAGUAGCGUCUCAAGUGUUCCAUAGUACCGUACGUGUCAUGAGGACUUCCUUCUUGAGCGAAAUGUGGAAAAAUCUUUAGAAAUUAGAAGUAGCAGCUGGGGAAAAAUCGAUUCAAACGAGUCUUGAAUAUCAGUUACAUAAAUAAAUAGAUUAAAAAGUCGUAUAGGACAUUCUCUGUCUUGCUUGCUUGAAAAAUGAACAGUAUGGAUAAUCUUGUUUUGAAAUGAUUAUAUCCUCGUACUAAUCAAUUUAUCCCAUCAAAUUCAGACACUAUACCACAUGCAGUUAACAGAAUUGUGAGAAGGAAACUAGGCAUCCCCUGCUCAUACUGCUACUGUAGGAUACAUUUCUCCAGCAGUUAGUAUGAUGGGUAAAAAUGAUGAUUGCUAUAUUUUGCUAUUCCUUUAACUUAUAAAAGCUUUGCAGAUUACUAAACUACUUGGAUCGUAACUCAUAAGAGAUCAACCAAACUCACAAUAAAAGUUAAAAAAUGCAAAGCUUUUUUUUAAUUAACUCAACGGUUCUAUAUUAUCAAUCUCCAGUUUCUAAGAAAGGAAAACGAUCUGAAACGCAAGACCCAAACAAUGAACCAUCUCUUAAACUAUAUACAACAUUUUGCACACGCAAAAGACAGGUUUCUGAAAAUUUAUUUAUUCAAAGAGAUAUACAUAUACUAGUUGGCUGUGGCUAUAUUGUUAGGUGGCUAACAUAACGUAGAAAAAGCUCCCUUGCCCC
rnacentral:lncRNA from 1 species